rnacentral:lncRNA from 1 species
UGCUUUUGGAGAAUUUGGUCAAUUUCUUCUUCAAAGUGGUAGUCUAGACCUAGCCGUUGAACCGCAUCGAUAAUGUCCAAACUUUCAACUGCUUCUCCUCCCACUUUUUUCAAUGCAUGCCUUAAGUCGUCCAGUUUUUGUUCAUUCUGGAAACAAAUUAUGCCAUCCUGCGGACAAGGAAUUGAAGAGAGUCGAUUUUCAACCAUGUAUGUGCAUGUGUGUGUGUGUGAGAGAGAGAGAGAGAGAGAGAGAGAUGAUUUUUCUUACCUUAGAUGAAGUAUACUUCGUUUUGGAGUCAAGCGGUUUUAAGGGAGUAGAAAGCAAACUGUGAUCUUCGGGGAUGCUCCAUUUUUGAGAACUAAGGUGUUCCGGAGCAACUGGAGUAGAAGACGAGGUCGCAAGGGAGGACUGGGAAAUAGAAAAUUCCAUAUUUCUGUAUGUCUAAUCAACUCCCAGAGUAGUAGAAGGCGAAUAGAGAAAAUAAGAUGUUUUUCGCUCUUCUUGAUCUCUCAAUUUAUAAUCGCCAUGAAAAUCGAUUUUCGCUAUACUUCGAGAGCUAGCACACUUUGCACGUUGAUUUAGAGUUUUUUUAUUUGCGCUUUUGUUUUUUUUGGUUUUUUUUUGGGUUGAAAAAUCAGACGUAGCAAGGGUCCAAGAAAGAAUCAAAUCAAGUGUACAAAACGUGAAAGUCGUGCUAUUCGGGAACUGGAAAGCAGAUUCCUAUUAUUAUGGAACUACUUUUGAUUCCUUAAUACUUAGGUACUGAUCACUAAUAUUUUAUGUACUCAUUUUUUUAUUUGACCUAAUAAAAAAAUAUCACUUGUUUUUUGUUUUUCAAAAUAAAAUAAAAAUAAUAAUGGACAUGGCAUUAUUUUUUAAUCACUAAAACAGUAUACCCAAGUAUUAUCCAAGCAUGUCUCAAACCCUAUAAAGGCAUCAAUAUUGAUGGAAGCCUUCAAACACAUUUUCUAAAUAAAUGAAUAAUGCUCAGAUCUAGAACCUUUUGGUUCGGCAAACUUGUGCGGAUCUCAACUCUAUCUAUCUUUUCUUUAAGUUUUCAGGUAAAAAUUUCCAACAAAACAGAAAGCCUUAAUGUCCUUGUGCAACAUUGCGUAGUUUAUUAUAUACUAUAUACUAUUUAGUGAACUCUUUUGGUUGAAUAUAAUUUAGUGAGUUCGACAGAAGCAAGUCAACAACACCUAAUUAUGACCAAACUAUUGUUUAUUACAUUUUUUUUUGGUCACAUGUCAAUUGUCCUCUUGUAAAAUUAGUAUUGAAAGCAUUUUAUAUUUUGCCAAACAAAUAGAUUCAACAAAUAUUAGAUGGCAAGUGAAGUAAUUUUUGUAUACCAUUUUUUUCAUACAUUCUUUAUUUCAGUUUCUUAAAACAUACAAUGUCUCGUGUUUCAUAUGAGUUCACAUUUGUGUGUGAGACAUUACAUUUUUUUUUCUUUCAUACUUUGUUUCAGGUUUUUUAAACAUACAGUGCCUUGUGUUUCAUAUGAGUUUACAUUUGUGUGUGAGACAUUACAUAUUUUUUAGACGACGUGUUACAUGUGCGAUAUAAUUGAUGUGUCGUGCUACUCUGUUUUCUGACUAUGUUGGUUUGCUUGGUUAUCGCUUCUCAAAUUAAUGUGCAUGUCGGUAUCCAGGUUUGUCUCACUUUCUUCUUCUUUUUUUCUCAUAUCUUUAUGGUGUUGUUUGACUUGUUUUGCAGGUUUAGACCUUUAUGUUUGGCUCUAGAGGGGUUAGGUUUCAUGUCCCCCCCUCUUUUCUUUGUUUCAUUCUCAUUUUUUGUUUCUAUAAGGGUAAGGUUUAUGUCCCCCCUUCUUUCUAGUGUAUUCCUUUUUGUUGUCUCUGUUUUUUGGAGGGGUAAGGUGUAUGUCCCCCCCUGACUAGGUGUAACUUGUUUUUUCGUUAUCAAUAAAAUUACCCUCGUACCGUCGAGGUUUUCCAAAAAAAAAAAGGAUAAUUUUUAAUAGAAAUAUUAGGAAAAUCCAAUUUUAGUUUACUACAUUGUCCCACGUCUCUUCAAUAAAAGUGUGAUCUCGUGGUGUACCCUAGCAUAAAUAUUUUCUUUUGGAACAAACGAUAUUGACUACUUUAAGGGGGAGAGGGGGGAGGUGGGCUUAGCCUCGCAAUGGACUAGCGAUAAUGUGGUUCAAAUUCUCCUUUGGCGAGAAUCGGACCUAAAAUCUCUCAUUUACAAGUGAAGAGAAAAAUCACUAAAUUGCAGUAUUAAUUGGUCUCCUAGCAUAAAUUUUUAAGCAUUAAUGUAAUGCACAUAAAUAUGGUAUCUCUAGCAUCACUCGAUCUCAUUUUUGAUCCACUUGUCGUAAUAGUAAAUGACAUGAUAUAACUUGUAUAACCCAUAUCCAAUUGUGACCGUGGAUAAUACAAGUUUGGUUGAUAAUACUGAAAUCAAGGGAUUUUCCCCAAUGAUUGGGUUAAUAAUGUUGAACAAUGUAAAAAGUCUCAUUUCGAAAACUUGAUAAAAUUAAAUACAACUUGCAUUGAGGUCUUCUGUGAUAAAACUUUAGACUUAUUAGAUUGCAUAAUAGUUAAGUGAAGAUGUGAAAUCCCGUCCCUGGAUUUCACUAUUUAAAAUUAUGUAUUUUGUAUUCUUAGUUCUGAUGCGUUUAUAAUUAUGGCAUGUAGUUUUUUUUUUUAUAAGUAAAAGGAAAAAAACGCCCUUAAUGAACUAAACGGACCAAUCAGGAUGAGAAGAAAUGAGGGAAAUGAGGGAAAAAAGAAGGAGGGAACCCAGACACCCCUUCGACCCACGACCCGACUACCGACUGCCGAUUUUCCAGUGAAUUGCGACGAGGCAACACUUGAGAACCCAUCCACAAUCUCUUAUUUUCCAUUUUCACUUCAAAAUUGAAGGAAUUUGGCCUCGAUUGCUUCUAGAACAUGCCGACGGGCUCCGUGGGGUGCAUAACAACAAUCUACCUUUCCUGCAUGAAUCACCGUCAAACACCACCAUCAAUCAACUCCUCUUGGGCCCAGGAACAAACCCCAAAAAAGUUUGGGGGUGGUGGAGCACCGGAGAAGACAAAUCAAAGUGCACCCAUUUCAGGGGUUUUCGGCAGAUAGAGGCGAUUUCAGGCAUCUUCCCGCCCGAAUUGGACUUCAUCCCAGGUAUGAAAAAUGUUUCCCUCAUUGAGCUCUACAUAUUUGUAAAAUUUGGUAAUUUUUGGAGUUAGGUGAAUUUUCCAAUGAGUCGGGGCGGCGGCGUGUGGCCCAAGGACCCACUUGACCCUUUUAGGCUAAAUUUGAUACACCGAUUCCAUAUGUAACAUCUGAUGGAUGAAAUCCCAUCAUUCGAACAUAGUUUCGUUAGGGUCUGCCUCUUGAUCAUUAUAACCAUCGAUGAUCCGACCGUUGAAUUGUCACCAAACUUUAAUAUAUUAUAGCACGUAAUAUUUAAGGACAUUAGAAACUGAUGGAUCAGGAAUCCGACAUACAGAUCUUGAUGAAUUGAAUUUUUAAGUUUGUAAAACUAAUUGUUAACUGCCACCUAAUUCUAGCAAUUGGCAGAGAUCCAACCGUUGAAUCGUUCCAAAAUUUUAGGAUAUUGUUCUAGAAGAUAAAUGAGACUCUUGAGAAAUUACGGAUCAAAAAUUUGUGAGUGGAUAUUUCGGAUCGAAUUACGUAGGGUUGUGGACCCCAUCAUUAACUGAGAGUUGACUUUGGGUCAACAUGUCUCGAAUCAUUUUAAAUACUAAAAUUAGUACUAUUAGGGACUAAGUGAAGUCUAGUGGGUCUACAUUGGUUAGUGAGUGACUUUAAUAAAUGUGAUAUGGUUAUUACCUUGGUUUCGUAUUUAAUAUCCUUUGUGGAUAUAACUUGGUUUAUUAAAUAUGAUUUCUAUUAAAAUGUAUUUUUAUAUUUGGCCAUCGAUCUGUUGUUAUGAAAUGUGAUUCGUGGAUUGGAAAUAUUUGUGAAAUGUGAUUUGAAAUACAUGUUGAAUUGUUUAUGAAAUGCGAGGGCUAGUAGUGGACCUUUAACCUAUUGUCAUGGGGAUUUGUUUGCUUCGAUAUUGUUUCAUUUACCGCUUUGUUGACCCGUUCUAAAUUUGGUACUUGUGCUUUGUUUCAUUUCAUUAAGCCUUUGUAAAUUGAGUAAAUUGAUUCAUGUUUUGUUUCUUCGAGCUGUUGUUAUGUUUCUUGAACUUCCGCUUGGUUCCGUUGAGUGGUCUGGAAUUGGGUUUCACUGGGGUUCUGUUGAGUGGUUUGGUUCCUUGCUCUGUUUGGAUUUCGUUGAGUGGUCCGGAAUCCCUCGUGCUCCGCGAUUCCGUUGAGUGGUUCAGAAUCGUAUCCUGCUUUGGAUUUCAUUGAGUGGUCCGAUAUCCAUUGUACUCCACAAUUCCGCUGAGUGAUCCGGAAUCGUAUCCACUCGUAUUCCGUUAAGAGGUCCGGAAUCCCUUCUACUCCACAAUUCCAUUGAGUGGUCCAGAAUCGUAUCCUGGUUUGGAUUCUGUUAAGUGGUCCGGAAUCCCACUUGGUAUUUUGGUUCCAUUGAGUGGUCUGAAACCCGAUGUUGUUGGAUUUCGUUGAGUGGUCUGAAAUUACAUUCUUCAUAGAUGUAGGCUUCGACCGAACUAUAUCACUCUAGCCUUCAUUUUGGUGUAUUGGAUGAGUUAAAUUGACGUGAUUGUGGAAUGAUAUUGGAAAUCAUAUGUGUGUGUGUGAAUGGCAAGAUGACAACUCUUGUUUGGCUUAUGGUUGAUGUGUAGUGUGGUACCCUAUGUUUUCUACUAGGAAGUGUUUUAUGAAAAGUUCAGAGUUUAACAAAUGGUGAACUACGAAUGGCUUGGUUCCGUUGGAGGGUACUUAGGCAGUCUAACAAAGAGGUUAGAUGCAGCCAUAGAGUAAACGAAAAAUCACUACACAAUUCGAAGUUUGAGUUGUGCUUUGUCUGUACCCCAAAGGCGAGGUAUGUUAAAUAUAUGGGUAUUUGGUGACGUCACGUGUCGAUCCUGGACGUACGUCGGGAUUAGGGCGUGAGAGAAGACAAUAUCAAUAAUAGUUCACUUAUGUCAUAGGAGUAAUCUUAUACUUGUGUCACAUGGUCAGUGAUAAGUGGACAUGACAAAAAUCAUGUAAAGUGUCACAAAAAUUAAAUUUCGAGUUAAAUGGAAAAAUUUGACACUGAAGAAAAAAAAUAUAUUAAAAUCAAAUUUAAGGAGGCAUAGAAACAAUAGGAAUGUUUUAAUGUCCUUUAAAACUCAGUCAAUACAGUUACACCAUCAUUUAUCAUUUUUCUUUCUUCUUUGUUCCGUAACUUCAUUUCUACUGAGAAAAUGCUCCAUUUUGAUGACUCUUUUUUUUCCAUUCUUUGUGUACUCUCCCUUACGUUUUGUCUAGUUAAAAGAGAUUAUUAAAGAUGGAAGAUCAUUAGCACUUUAGUUAGCAAGUUAUCUAGGGUGGUUGUUCAUUAGCGGAUUCCCCUUGUGUUCAUUAGCUGAAAGGAUAAUAUAUAAGAUGGAUAAUAUAUGAAAGUAUAUAUACACUCAGUCAUGGAGGAAUACUGAAAGUCAAAUUGGAUAUAGAAGAUGAUAAAUUAAGUGAGCUGAACUACACAUAAAUGUAUGAUCAUUGAAUUACAUUUGUAGUCUUACUCUCCUCCAUUAAAGCGAGUAAAAUGAAAUUUCCUAACAGUUUACUUUAAAGUACUAAAGUUCUUGAGCAGCAGCAUAUAAACUGUUUAAUUCGUGACCUUCAUGAAAAAGGAAACGAAGGGUGCGAAGAAAUAUCGUGAUCAAAUAUAUACCACAACUUUGUUAAGUACUACCAAACAUAAAUUUUGACGUUUCACUAUUUAGAACGGUUGGGAAUGACACAUAAUAUUAAUGUAUGUGGUCUUCAGACAUUAUCACGAUGUAUGAGUACGAGACUCAUGUGGAACCUUAACUCUAUGUGGCCACUUAGCCCCACUUCCCACAAAGGCUUUGUGGGAAGAAAUAUUGUGAUCAAAUAUAUACCACAACUUUGUUAAGUACUACCAUACCUAGAUUUGGAACUUUCACUACAAGAAAAAUGGAUAAGGAACACAAUUGAUUUGUUGUUGUAAUAUAAUAUAUGGAUGACCCACAUAAAUAGUUUGUUACUAUUCAUCCAUAGAAAAAUCAGAUGAAUUAUAAUUCAUAUGAAGAAAAACGGAUGGGUUACUGAUAGGGAUUUUACUACACACGUAAACAAGCUAAAAACUCCUAUAAUACUUGCAAGAAUGACAAGGUUAUUGUAGUAUAAACGGAUCUCGCAAGGUCGUUCUCCACAGGGAUUAUUAAGUACUUCGAAGCAAACCAAAUUCCAAUUAAUUAUUGUAAAGUAGAAAUUGAGAUGAUUGAUUUCAUAAACUACUUAAAUUAAAAAAAAAAUUAAAUUAAUACAAGUAAACUAAUUUGCAAUAUUAAAGAUGAAAGAAAAGGAACCAGUUUUGGAGAAAUCAAAUUAAGAAAGCACUAGGGUUCCACCAUCACCUAGCAAUCCUAUGAACUUUUACCAAUUACUUAUGAUCUACACAUGCCACUUUGAAGAUUAGAUUUUCCUAAUUCAUAUUCUACUUGGAACCUCCAACAUAGAACGUAUAUCAAACAUGCAACCCGUCCGGACGUUCGGAUCAAAUCUGAACAUGAAAGACUCAUUAUGUUUUAUGAAAACCCUUUGAAAAACCAAGCAAUCCUUAAGACGUGGUGUUCAUCCUAAGUGAAAUUACAAUUAUUAAUCACAAGAAGUCAUCGUCAAUUUCAGGGAAUCUUCCGACCAAAAUUGCAUCAAAUUACUUUUCUAAAGAUCCUAAUGGUGAUCAGGCAUUAAGACAAUUAGAUAAUUUUAAUCCCGGUGAUUAAUAAUUCAAAGUGUGCAUGCAAUCAAUCAUAAGCAAUUAAAUAAAAAUCACAUAUUCAUGCUAAGGCUCAAGGCUUCGCCCUAGCAAAAGGAAUUAGUUACACAUAUUCAUAAUUAAAAUCAUAGAAAAUAUUAUUAAGAAAAUGAUUGAAAACACCUUAAAGUAGAAAAUCUCCAAGAACCUUAGCAAAGUUCUUUGUCUCUGAAGUUGAAUAAUAAUUAGCGUCGAGAAAAACUGUAGACGGCAAAGCAAUAUAUCUACUAAGCCAUCCACAAACCCUAAAACAUAGGUCUCUUAUUCCAAUUAGGAAACUAAGAAAAAUAAUAAAAUAUCUUAGAAAAUAAAACCCUAAUUAAACUAGGAGAAUCUGCCAAGUACUUAUCUAGCCACGUUUUAGCCUCAUAUCUCCUCCAAAUCCGGCCCAAGAUAACUUGUUUUAAAGAUUAGGAAGUUCUGAACACAUCUCCCAAAGGCCAAGAAACCAUCCGAGGUCAUCUUGGGCUCCAAAAACGCAAUUUAAACCCAUAAACGUCAUUUUUCAGCAGCGCACAUCGCUCCUUUAUUUUAUCGCCAGAAAAUAACCGCUUGGUGGAAAAAUACCAAAUUUUGAUAUGAUCAAGCUAAGUGACUCUAGAACGUCCUCCAAUUGGAAUUACUCCAAAAUUCGUCCAUUUGACCACGUUUUGCUUCAGAUGAAAUCGAAAGUCCUAUAUUAGAAAUACAAUUCAAAGUAUCAAAAUAUUAACCAAAAUAUACUAAGAAUAUGGUUAAAUAUAUAAUAUAAAAUCUACUCAUCAGUUACUACCAAACCUAGAUUUGGAACUUUCACUACAAGAAAAAUGGACAAGGAACACAAUUGAUUUGUUGGUGUAAUAUAAUAUAUGGAUGGUCCACAUAAAUAGUUCGCUGCUAUUCAUCCAAAGAAAAAUCAGAUGAAUUAUUAUUCAUAUGAAGAAAAACGGAUGAGUUACUAUUCAUGCAUAGUAUUUCACUAUUCAUUUGGCGAAAGUUUGUAAAGUGAAUAGUGUUAUAGUAAUUUUUUGCCUAUAAGAUGAGAGCAACCGAAGGAAGGAAGAAGUGAGAAGAAGAAGAAAGAGAUGAGAGAAAAACAUAUAGAGGAAAGAAAGAGGAGUUAUGGAGAAAAAUAAAGAGAAGAGGAAAAAAGAGAGAUGCAGAAGAAAUUACCAGUGAGUUAGGCUAGAGAGAAAAGAGAAAAUAGUGAGAAUUAUUUUGUACUCCUAUUAUUUCAGAUAAUGAAAUAAAAUAUUACUGCUGCCCCGAGAACUUAGACACACUUGCCGAAUCUCGUAAAUAUUAUGUCUUAUUUAUUUUAUUCCACUAUACACAUACUGUCAAUUUUACAACAUUUAUAUCUUUUUUUUAAAUUUUAUUGAACAUUAUACUAUCUCAAAUGUGCCCCUCUGAACAAAAAGUACAUUAGUUAGUGCCCAAAAAGAAAAAAAUGAUGUAUUUGUGCCAAUGAAAAUUUGAGCACAGUAGUUCGCAUCAAUAUUUAAGGCACAAAUAUGCUGUCAAUAGUGCCCUACUCUUUGCGAACAAAAUGCCAUAGUGUGUCCUAUGAUCAAGAAGCACGCCCAUAAAGAGCACAUAAAACAUUUUAGUUGCUACAUUAUUGAUUGCUAUUGACACAAGAGCAAGUCCACCUCUAAGGAUUUUGUGCUAGCACCCAGCGCAUUUAUCCAUUCAAGUGAACAGUAAUAGACCCUAGGGAACAGUAAUAGGCCAAAGCAUCUCCACCCCUAACAAAAAAUAGCCUUGUCCAUUUUAUUAAAAUAUUAUUAUUAUUUAUUAUAAAAUAAUAAUUUUAUUUUUAAUUUCUGAAUUUAUAAAAAAUAAAAUAAUAAUAAUAAUAAUAUCUAAAUUUAUUAAAAAAUUUCUGUAUUUUUUAAAAGUGAAAUUCUUAAUUUUUUGGGAGAAAAAAUGUGGACAGUUGAUCUGUGAUCGGACGGUCAAGUUUAAAAGUAAAAUUUAAUUUUUUUUUUUUACCGUUGGAAAUCCAACGGUCUAGAAUAACUAGCCAUUGGAAAUCCAAUGGCUAUGAGCAUGCCACAUCACUAAUGGGGCUCCGGAGCACAAGUGGGUUGACAGCCCUCUGCAACCUUGUCGCCUACUCGUGGCCACGCGCGAUUGUCGUGCACGCGCCAGCCAAAUAGGCCGGCUUCUUACUCAGUCAAAUUUGGGCUAGCUUGGAGACCAGCUUGGGCUGCGUCCCAGGCAAAAGGGUCGGCUGGAGUGGAUUGACAGGCUCCCAGCCUGAUUUUUAUAUUUUGUGCUAGGCAAAUUCCACUCCGGUGGACUUGCUCUAAGGGCACAUAUGUUAGUGUCCUUAAGCCUCAUGGCACAAAUAACUUUUUUGUGCUGGCCAUAUUUUUUUUUUGUAGUGUUUGAAUAUUUAGUACUGUAGGGAAUGACACAUCAUAUUUAUAUAUCUGGGACAGGGAUUGUUUGCCCUCCUUGUUCUCGUGCCCUCUCAUAUCCUCCUGUUUGUGUGGUCACAGUUAAGUCAUGUCAACAUUUUAUAUUACUAUUCAUUUUUGUCUUAUUAUCUCUAUAAAAAAAAAUAUAAAAUGUUGAUAUGGUUUAACCAUGAUCACACAAAACAGGAGGAUACAGAAACAAAGAGAGCAGAGAAUCCUUGUCCAUUUAUCUGUGAUCUUCAAACAUUAUCAUGAUGCAUGUGUACGAGAAUCACGUGGACCCUAAUUCUAUGUGGCCACUGGCCACUUAGCCCCACUUCGCACACAACCGGAAAAUCGGCAAGACUUUCAACAAAAACGUGUGUGUGUGUGUGUUUUCUUUUAAUUGAAUGGUUAGUGACUACUUAUCGUACGAAGAAUAGCAACCCUAAACCUUAACUUUCUCACGUGGACCCUAAUUCUAUGUAGCCACUUAGCCCCACUUCUGACACACCCAGAAAAUCGGCAAGACUUUCAACAAAAACGAGUGGUUAGUGACUUUCAUCGUGUUUUUUCUUUUCUUAAUUGAAUGGUUAGUGACUACUUAUCGUACGAAGAACAACAACCCUAAACCUUAACUUUGUGAACCUUUCAUUGUUUUUGUUAGACAUUGAUGAUUAUGAGCCCCGUGAGUGAAAGCUACAUUGAUAUCCCAUUCCAUGCAUCUUCCUUUUUCACAUUCGUACGUAGUACUUGCAGACUUUUCAUCACCAUACAGCUCUAUAAAACAUCACCAGAAAAUUAAACAAAAUUAUAAAAGUGAUUAGAGAAACUAAACUUUACAAGUUAUAUGUGAACUAUUUAAUAUAAAUAAAGCUCACCAAUAUAAGUAGAUCCUACCUGAUCUACACGUUGUCUAUAAAAUAGAGUAUUCCAAGCAUUUUUUUAAAUUUAAGCUAAAUUUGUGCUUGGGUUUCUGUUGUAUCCAUUUGGCUAGCCAUUUGUCGUAUUCCAAAAAUUAAAUCCCUCCAAGGAAAUCCGGCCGCAGGUGUAGGAGGUGGAUCCGACCCACCAUCGCGGGUCUAGUCGCACUAGAGGGUAUAGCCCGGGUAUGAGACGGAAACCCAUGAAAUCAUGGGUUGUUGCUUGCAAAAUGGUGGGGAGGAAAGGAAAAUAUGGGCGCCGUCUGUUUACGCCAGAGAGAGGGAGAGGGAAAAGGUAAAAAGUAAAAAAGGAAAUAUGAGCACCAUCACAUUAUGUGGUGUACUAAGACCACCUUCAAACCCGGGCUAAAUGCCAAAUGUUUAUCGGAAUUUAAAUCUUUUUAGAUUAAAAUGUUCAUAAAAUUAAUUUACAAUAAUCUACAUAUUUAUUUUUUUAAAAUUGAUUUAAGAAAAAAAUUAGUCUAAGUUCAUUCUUUAAUAAUUCCGAGCUAAGAUUUUAGGGCAGAAGAGUUGGAGCAGAAAAGAUGUUUUUGGGCUAAAAGCUAAAUUUUCCGGGCUAAAAAAUUUGGCUUUUAGCCCAAGAGUUAGAGAUGGUCUAAUGUACUACAACAAACAAAUAAUUUAUGUAUGUACAAUUCAAAGAAUCAAGUAAUUAAUGGUCCCUCGUUAAAAAAAAAAAAAGGAAGGACAAUAUUAGAGAGAUUAAAUUUAUAAAUCAAAUGAUGUGUCAUCAAUAGAAAAUAAGCAAGUUAAUUGACACUUAACAAUAAUCCAAUAAUAAGUCUUCACAUCAUUUGAUUUACAAAACUUAAUUUAAAAUUUUGAUCUCGCUAUCAUUAAAUUAAAAAAAAAAUACUAAAAGUUGGGGUCACUGCAUGAUCGAGCCGGUUAAUUGUACGUUGAGAGUUUGAAUUUAUUCAUUAUCAACUUGCUUUUUCAUUGACAAAUCACAUCCUAACAUGAUAAUGACUUUGCUCAAAUCAUGGCCAUUCAACAACUAAGAUAUUUUCGGAUCGAAUAGGGAUCCUCUUUGAAUUUUUUUUAUGAGAAUUCUAGAGAUCCUUUAAUUACAUUCGUUCAUCACACAUCGUACGAUCAAUUUUGAUCAAGUAUUGUUUAUAUUUAAUUUUAAAUAAAAAAAUUUACAAUAAUUUCUGACCACACGAUAUACGAUAAACGAAUAUGAUUGAAAAUCGAUAGAAUCCUCAAAAAUAGAAUCCGAAGAAGAUCCUCAUUCUUUUGGAAUCGUGAAAAAAACGAGGAUACUUUAUUUUUCUUGAUCUAACCUUUUCUCUCUUCCGGUCCGGAUCUGGUAGCAAUUUGCAUGCUUUGUACUUAUGUUCUAGUUUUUUUUUUUUUUCCUUCUUUAUUCAACUGAUCAAUUAUUAUAACCAUGAUUAUGAUUACUUAACACUGUUACAAUGUCCACCUUCUUAUUUCUUACCCCCCCCUUCUAUAUUUACACCCCCAAUUAAAAGUAAAAAGAGAGCAAAGUUAUCUCCACACUUACCAUUAUUCCUUAAAUAGCCUAAACAGUCCAAUAUUGUUUUUUCCUUGAAUCCAACCAGUAAUCCCUUCGUUAACCCUACAAGAAAAAUGGGCUAAGAACACAAUUGAUUGGUGCCCUUCUCAUUUUCAUUGAGCACAAAUAUAUAUUUGUGCUUUUUAAAUUCCAUUGAGCACCAAAAUACCUCAAAUGUGCCCUCUAACAUAAAGGCACAUUAGUUUGUGUCGGGUAUUUGUGCCUACUAAAAUUUGAACACCAAACUUUGUGUCCAGCUUGCUUGUCAGGGAUGAAAUUUUUUUUUUAUUAAUUUACACAAACACAAUAAAGGCUUUUGUGCCCUCUAUUUUAAUAUGUUUAAAUAAAAAAAUUAUAUUUUCGUGUCUUUUACAUUUAAUAUUUCCUAUUCCCAACUAUUUUUUUCUUGUUUACAAUUUGUGAAAAUAUCUAGUUGCAAUCAAUUUGAAUUAUUAAUGGUGAUAAAUAUUAUAUUCUAUUUAAAUAAUACUUAUCGUAAUGAACGCGUGGUUACAAACUGAUGUGAAUUCGGAAUUAGAACGAGUAAGUUACGAAUUUUUAAAAUUAGAAGGCAAAAUGGUAAAAUUUUGGGAAGGAGUAUUCUAGAAGCCAAAGCUUCUCCCAUUUUACUUUCCCGACAAGCACAUGUAGCAGGGACCCACCCACGUGGGUCUUCACCCUUCCCACCUAAUUAUAUAUAUAUAUAAUAGUAUUAAAUUAUUAUUUUAUUAAUUUUAUGAUGGAUUUUUGUGCUCCUCCAUCUUUUUUCUAUCCCGGCACAAAUGCAACAAGGACCCACCCACGUGGGUCUUCACCCUUCCCCAUGCUUCUACUCCUCUCUGCACUGCAUCACUCUUCUGUCUCCCUCCUUCACGCAACCCUUUCUCUCACUUUCUCACUUUACUUCUUCAUAAUUUUCUCUGUGAUCUCCUUCACCAUCUCUGUGCUCACUGCACAGAAAACCUCAGCAUCCAUCUCCAUCUAACUAGCCACUCCGGCGAACCUUGCCACCACCCAAACACUACAUGCCACCCUCGCUCUCUCACAAUCUUUUUGUCUCUCCCUCUCGGCUUCUUCCUUGACACAGAGAAGCACAUAAGCAAUGACGGCGGCGGAGCUGGCGAUCUCCGGCGAGGCAACCACCAGCGUCACCUUCCUCUCCUCUCUGCAGACUCCCCUUUACCUUUUGCUUUCUGAAAAUCGAAACCGACGCGAUGAAAUGACAAGGUCCGUCGCGGCUUGACUCCUUGGCGAGAUUUUCCGUCGAAUUCAGUAUGGGUGAGUCUUGAAAACACCUUAGUUAGGUUCUUUAAGUUGUUUAGAGACGCUUUCGUGCACUGCAUGCCUGAUUUGGUUAAGUUUGGAUGCAGUUUCAACUUAGGGGACAAAUUCCCCUGAUUUCCAGCGAGGGCUAUGAUUUUAGGCUAUCACCGGCCACUCAAUGGCCUUGAAGUAGGUAAAUUUCGAAUACUUACCUUUGUAGCUUUGUUUUAGCUUUUGAAUUGUUGAAAAUGGUUGUGUUUUGGACCAAAACGGACUCUGAAACCCCUGGCGUGGCUGCAGGUCGCACUGUCGCUGUGCGUGGAGCUGUUGUGGAUGGCGCGUGGAGCACAGGCGCCUCCACCGGAAGGAUGAUUGCCUGAAAGGAUGAAUAUACGUUUUCAAAUGUUUGUUUUAGAUUGUAGGGUAUUUCGAAUUUGUUAUUUUUUAAAAAAAAAAAUUAAUUGAUAAGGCACAAUUACAAAAAUUGUGCUAACAUGAAUCUGAAAUGGCAUCUGACACAGGUGUCAGAACAGGACACAAAAAAAACCUUAUUUGUGCUCAAUGUUUGAGCACACAUGGCUGUAUCGUGCCCUCUAAUCAAUGGUGACGCCCAUAGAGGGCACAGACCCAAAGAUAGUAGCUGCAUUGUUGCUAUUGGUCUAUGGGCACAAUUGUUGGUGCUUUUUGAUCUCAAAGGGCACAUAUAAUUUAUUAUGCGCAGUGCUCAUUUUUUUUGUAGUGUAAACUCAAUAUUGAAGAAUUUAUUGGUAAGUUCAUCGCUUCUCAAUUUCGCAACCUUUUAAAUCAAUAAACUAAGCCUUCUAGCAUCUAAUUAAAACAAACAAACAAAACCAGAUACAAUUAAUCUUUUGCUCUUUGAAGACCAACUUUAGUAAGCUUUUUUAUGGUUCAUUAAACUCUUAUCUAAUUUUGUCGACCAAAUCACAAAACCCAUCUAAAGAAUACCUAAAUUGGUAUCCGUGCUAUUGCCGACAAAUCCAAAGUUUUAAAGGAAAACUAAUGAAAAAGGCUUGAAAACUUUGAGUUUUAAUGAUAAGGACAAAAUAAAGGGUAAAGUGAAUAGUACCAGGUUUGACUUUUUAGUGUAAAAAUGUGGUUUUUCGUUAAAGUGAACAGUACCUUGGGCUUUUCGUUAAAACUCCCAUAAUAAUUUGUUACAUGUUUCCCACUAUUUGCGUUUAUGCCAUAAAUCGAUUCUUAAAUUCAAGAAUUGCAUAAUAUAUUUGCUCAAUCGAAUUUCUCUUCAAUAUUAAUUGUGAUGUGAGUUUCAAACACCUAAAUGAAGCAGCAACUUAAAUCUUGGGUCUUUUGCUUGAUUUUGAGUUGGGUUGUGAGGAUCGGUGGUGCAUUGGAUAGAGAGAGACGCGGAGUUGCCUACAUCACUCUAGUCCCCAAAAAAAACACGUUCUUUAUAUUUUCUUAUGUCUCCUUCUAAGAAAUUUUGCAAUAAGGUAAGCUUGUCAUUAAAACUUUCAUUAAAAUGUGUGGAAUAAUAGACAAUGAGUGGCGGGACUGAGAUCCUCGCAGAAUGUCUUUUCUGCGGGUUUGAUAGACCCUUAAAUCUUUCUAUCUCUGUUCACUGCCUCCAUCUCCAACCUUCUCUUGGAUUUUGUUAUCAUUAAUUUUAUGGAGUUCUUAAUAGGAAAAAAAAAAUGUAAAUAUAGUUCUUGGGUUUUAAAAUUUUUUUUUUCUUUCAGAACCUAGACAUGAAGAGGCGGGGAAAAAAUCUAAUAGCGUAUCGGUAGCACAUUGCAAUCAAAGGGGAAAAAAUAAAGAGAUUAGAAAGAAAAACAGUGAGUUAUGAGUCUUGAUUACUAGUAUCCAUGGCGUAACAAAAAAAUCUAAUAGCGUAUCGGUAGCACAUUGCAAUCAAAGGGGAAAAAAUAAAGAGAUUAGAAAGAAAAACAGUGAGUUAUGAGUCUUGAUUACUAGUAUCCAUGGCGACGGUGUUACGAAUAGAGAGAGAGAGAGAGAGGAUAAAAUGGGACGGAAGAAAGAAACUAGAAGGGAGUGAGGUUAUUAACUACAUUGAGAAAGAAUCAAAGAACAAUAUGGAAUGUAAGAAAAUGAAAAACUUGAGAGAGAGAGAGAGAGAGAGAGAGAGAGAGAGAGAGAGAGAGAGAGAGAGAGAGAGAGAGAGAGAGAGAGAGAGAGAGAGAGAGAGAGAGUAAAUUGUAUGAAGUGUAUUUCAGACUUAAUGAAAUGGAUCAUCACAAUUACAGAAUUUUUGUACACACAUACAUCUAGCUUAAAGCUUCAUUCUUACACUUCUAACGACUAACUAAUCUUUUUAACAACUUAAUUAACAACUUUAGUAUGACAUGACAGCCUCAUUAACUAACCAAUGUUGAGCUGUCAUUUAUUAACACUCAACAAAGGCAACCUUGUUUCGUGUAAAAAAUAAAUAAAAAAUUUCUGGUUGUUUGAUCUGUGUGAACGGCCAAGAUUCAAGGAUCUGUCAUAUCCUCAUAAUUAAAGAGACGUGGAGAUGAUCCGGGUCUGGGGUGGGCAUAAUUAUGAUUAUUUGGUUUAUAAAUAAAAAAAAAAGAGUUAAUUUGACGGAUUUGGAUCCUCUCUGGAUCCAAAGGAUUUGAGCUUGAAUUUAUUCAUUAUCAACUUGCUUUUUCAUUGAUAAAUAAAAUAAAAGUUAUAAUAAUUGUAGUCGUUUGAUCAAAUUGGGAUUUGGAUCCUCUUCGGAUCCAAAGGAUCUGAGCUUGCAGAUCAAGUGAUAUGGGCCGUCCAAAUUUGAUCAAACGACUACAAUUAUUAUAACUUUUAGAGGGGCCCCCUGUUUGUAGCCGUUUGAUCAAAUUUUGACGGCCCAAAUCACUUGAUCCGCAAGCUCAGAUCAAGUGGAUCUGAAGAGGAUCCAAAUCCCAAUUUGACCACCUUUGAACUUUCCAAGUCAUCCCCUAGCCGUAGAAUGGUUGCCACCAAAAUAUUUCGCCUAAAGUAGUGUUGCACAUGUUGAAUAUUUGUUGGAUCGAAAAUAAUGCCUCUAGAAUUUCAUACAAUUUUUUUUUUUGUUGAACGAUGUUAUUUUCUCUAAGGGAAAGGGGAUAGGCUUAAUCUCACAAUGAACUAGCAAGAAUGUGGUUCAAAUUCGCAUUUGACGAGGAUCAAACCUAAGACCUUUCACUUACAAGUGAAAAAAAAUACCACUAAACUGUAGUACUAAAUAGCUAAAUUAAAAAAUAUAUUAAAAAAAAACCCUCAAUUGCAGCCAAUGUGUCAUAAAAGUAGUUUUACAAUUACUUUAGUUAAAAUAAGGUUUUCAAUUGCAUUGUUCAAAUGAACAGUUACUUGACGUGGAUUUUGAGCUAUUUACAAAAUUGCCACCACCUCUUCAGUUUCAGAUUGGAAAUUUUGGUUAUUUACGAAAUUGCCAACCCUUCAACUGUGCACGUAUCGACCAUCGUAGAAAGGGUGGGGUUGGAAACACACUUCGUUUCCGCUUGCUUCCUGAAACCCGAAGCCCCAAUUGCAUCCUUAGGAGAGUUGGGGAACGGGUGUCCAUUGCAGAGAGAUGAUGGUACUAGCUGAACAAAGUUUCUCUCUCAUCCCUAAUAUGUGCAUGUCAGAUCUUUGUCCUAAAUCCUGCCCCAAUAACACUUUAGAGGUAAAGUUCAACCUUCGUCCCGUUUAGUUCUUGUCCAGAGCGCAGAUUAGAUAGAGAUGAAUCAGAAAUGUCUCAUGUGUUGAUGCACAAAACCGGAGGUCUUGGAACAACGUAAAUCCGACCAUGAAUCUGUAAGAAAGUAAAUAACACAAGAUGUAUCGUGGUUCACCCCAAUGUUUGGACUACGUCCACACUGAUAUUGUAUUUCUCUAAGAGGAUUGAGGAUGAGAUGGUGAAAGUUUCUGAGGGUGAGAGAGCUCUUCCCAUAGCCUAAGAAUUGGCCUCCCCUAAUGAAGAGAGUGAGGGGUCAUUUUAUAGAAUAAGGGCUCCCCACUUAUUACAUAUUUGCCCAUUCGUUUAUUACAUAAUUACAUAUGAGUCCCCCGAGUAUUUAUACGAGAUCUAAAUACGGAGGCCCUAAGUUUGGUACAAAUAGUAGUCCCCCAAGUCUUCAGUCAAAAGAGUCUUUUGGUUAGAGACUUGAAAUUCAGUCCAUGUGUGGGCCGAAGUAACUAGAUGUUGUCUUGAACUGAUGCUCGAUAUGAGGCGGUGCUCAAUCUGAAGUGAUGCUCAACUAGAAGUGGCACAUGUUGCGAGGCUGCUCGGUUUGUGGCUUAUUUUUCUUUGGUUGGCUCGGCUUGUGGUGUUGAAGGUGAGGGAGUCCAUUUUAUAGAAUAAAGGAUCGCUCCUUAAUACAUAAGUGAUGGGCUAAGAGUGAUGCUCGCGGCGAGGCAGUUGCUCAGCUGGCGGCGAUGCUCUUUAAUGAAGGUGAGGGAGUCUCUUUUAUAAAAUAAGGGCUCGUUCCUCGGUACAUGAAUAAUGGGUUAGGAGUGAUGCUCGCAGCGAGGAGGUUGCUCAGCUGGCAGCAAUGCUCUCUAAUGAAGGUGAGGGAGUCCCUUUUAUAAAAUAAGGGCUCGCUCCUCAGUACAUGAAUAAUGGAUGCUCUCUAAUGAAAGUGAGGGAGUCCAUUUUAUAUAAUAAGGGUUCGCUCCUCAAUACAUAAAUAAUGGACUAAGUCCCCCAAGUAUUUUUCAUGAGGCCCAGUUAAGGAAGCCCAAUAUAUGGUACAUAGUGUAGUCCCCCAAGUCUUCAGUCAAUAGAGUUUGUUGGCUAGAAACUUCAAAUUGAAUCCAUGUAUGGGCCGAAGUGGUGGUUGUUCGGAAGCGGUAUUUGUAUACCAUGCACUGAAGCUUUGUAGGUGAAGCUUUUAAAGUGAAGCUUUGAAGCUGGAGCUCUGUAAAUGAAGCUUUGAAGCUGGAACUCUGUAAAUGAAGCUUUCGAAGCUGAUUGACAUGAGUGAUACUCAUGAAUGUUUAUGUUGAUUGACAUGAGUGAUGCUUAUGGAUGUUGACAUGAGUGAUGCUCAUGAAUGUUGACAUGAGUGAUGCUCAUGAAUGUUGACAUGAAUGUUUAUGUAUGAUUGACAUGAGUGAUGCUCAUGAAUGUUUAUGUAUGAUUGACAUGAGUGAUGCUCAUGUAUAAUUUUGGAGUACUGGACGUACUUUUGAUCACCUGGUUUGUGAUAAUAGCGGCAGGGUGCCGAAUAAUUUUGGAGUACUGGGCAUACUUUUGAUCACCUGGUUAAUGAUAAUAGCGGUAGGGUGCCGAAUAAUUUUGGAGUACUAUGCGUACUUUUGAUCACCUGGUUGGUGAUAAUGGCGGCAGACUGCCGAAUAAUUUUUUGGAGUACUGGGCGUACUUUUGAUCACCUGGUUGGUGAUAAUAGCGAGUCUGGCUCUUUUGGGCAUAUGGGCCUUCGCCCUCCACAUAACAUUCCAGCCCAUUAUUUUGGGCUUGCCGUUUUUUUUUAAUUACCCUCUGAUGGGGUUUAUACAGAUGUCUCCGAAAGAUAAGAAAAAUAAAUCCGACCCUCUGCUCAAUGGGUCACGCCCAUAAUUCUCUUUUCUGCAUGCCAUCACCACGACAAUUAUGUCUGCUUCUUUUUAUCUUCUUUUGCCUUCUGCUUUUGCUUUUGCUUUUGCUUUUACUUUCUCUUUUCACUUUCUCAGAAAAUGAUUUCACAUGGUUUUCUCCUUUUGCUUUCUCAGAAAUCAGAAAAUGAUUUCACAUGCCUGAAACCGCGAGCACAUGGCUUUCUCCUUUUGCUUUCUCAGAAAAUGAUUUCACAUGGCUUUCUCCUUUUGCUUUCUCAGAAAAUGAUUUGCUACCACCCUGUAAAGAAGAUGCAGGGAAUGAGUCACGACUAAGCACUUCUGGUUGGUACUGCAACCCAUAGAACCUCCUGGCCAGGCUCUCAAUUGCAGCCACCGAUGCAGCAAAAUAGGGCAGCAAUGAAUUGAUAGGUGACAAAGCGUUGCUGGUAGCCCUUUUUUUAGCAAAUAUUGGAGCUUAUCAUACUUCAUGAUGACCAAUUUUUGAAGCAAUGAGAGAUUUCCGAGCACCUCCGAUAUGGAUCCAAGAUCUGGAAGUCUUUGGAUGAUGAAGGAUGUUAUAUUGUUGGGAAGAAGGUACUCUUUUGGGAAGGAUACAAGGUCAGGAAACCCACCGACAGUGAGAUCAUGAAGAGAGUGGAGUUUGUGAAGCCUCCAUUCAUCUCAAACUCUCUUGCUUUUCCAAACUUCUUCUUCCCCUCUCUCUCUUUCACUAUCUUUAAUUUUCUACCAUUAGCAGCCUCUGAAAAGAAAGGGAAACCGUGGCAAGAAAAAGUCAAUAAUACUGAGAAAACAUAAGAAAGCCACCAAAAGCUGACAAGAGAAAAAGUCAAGAAUACAGCCCAUAAUACUGAGAAAACAUAAGAAAACACCAGAGUUCAUCUUCCCAUCGCCGUGGCCGACUUGCUCUUUUCUUCUUUUGUUUUUUUUUUCUUUUUGCUUUCUCUUUUCUGCUUUUUUUUCUUUUUUUCUUUUUGCUUUCUCUUUUCUGCUCAGUGCUCCCUCUGUUUGAACUUUGCACUUUACACUUUGCCGUUUUCAGCGUUUUCUGACCAAUCAGAGCUCGCCACCACGGGGGUUUGCACAGCCUUGACGAGCACAACCUUGACACACAGAGCAACACUAGGAGGUGAAACAAGUCCUAAAAGAGCUCAAACGAGGAUAAUCCAAUGGCGGAUAAGUCGUCGUGAAGAUGGGAACUCGGAACAGUUGUAACCGCCAUCACCGAGUUGAAUCGUUGGGACAGAGUGAGCUGAGUUCAUAAGCAAGAGAGAGAGAGCCGAGUUGGAGCUCACUACGAACUCGUCAAGGGAGUUCAGGGCCGAGUUGGAGUCGGGUCGGGUUGAGGGGCUGACAGGAGAGUGGUGUCGGGAGUGCGAUUUGAUGAAACCCCAGGAAAAUGAAAAGUGAAAGUAGAGCAUGAAUGUAUCUAGCCAGAUCUUAUGUCCUCAGCUCUUCAUGGUUGUAAAUCUCUCCAUUCAUCGUGACAACGAUUGACUUGUCCUCGUUGUAGAGAGGUUGAUCACUAGAGGCAGGGUCAAUGAUGGCCAACUUCUGAUGAGCCAAAAAAACAAUCUCCAUGCUGGUACAGCCCACUCCAGUUAGGUCCACGAUGCUUCAAUCUGCGCGAAAGCUCAAGAAUCGGACCCUCUUGACGAGAUUUUUCUUGCGGUGUUGGGCAAACACGUUACAAAAAAUACCGAUAUUUCAGACGGAUCCCUUAGAUGCUCGAUGCAGCCUCUUCUCUGGUGGGCUUAGGCUCUCUUGAGGGCUUGUGUUCCCUUUAAUGUAGUCUGUUGCCUUCACCUUUGGAAAAAUGCAAAAAAUGUGCUUCUGCUUUGCCUCUGAAACAAAGAGGCAUAAUAGAAUGCUAACCAUCCUUUGGUCUUGAUUUCAUGCUGAAUGGUGGAACCAAGAAUCAAUAAAAGCCUUGUCCAGAUUUGCUGUUGGAAGAGUGACACUCAUCACCCUGUAGAUGAGCCAAUGCACCCGCCGCCGAGACGCAAAACAGAUAAGAGAAUAAAGGAGUGUUGAGGUGGUGUAUGGCUCAAACCCACACAUUAUUUUUCUUCUCUCUCCUGGUCCUCACAGAAAUCAGAAAAUGAAAGUUGGCGUAGUACUCACUAAAUGAAAGCUGACAAAAAUCAGAAAAUGAAAGCUGGCGCAGAUUCACGGCAGAGGUGAAAAAAUGAAAGAGAACCGACACAACUUUUCAUAUCGAUUCCCACAGACAGCGCCAAAUGUUGAUGCACAAAACCGGAGGUCUUGGAACAACAUAAAUUCGACCGUGAAUCUGCAAGAAAGUAAAUAACACAAGAUGUAUCAUGGUUCACCCCAAUGUUUGGGCUACAUCCACACUGAUAUUGUAUUUCUCUAAGAGGAUUGAGGAUGAGAGGGUGAGAGCUUCUGAGGGUGAGAGAGCUCUUCCCAUGGCCUAAGAAUUGGCCUCCCCUAAUGAGGAGAGUGAGGGGUCCUUUAAUAGAAUAAGGGCUCCUCACUUAUUACAUAUUUGCCCAUUCGUUUAUUACAUAAUUACAUUUGAGUCCUCCGAGUAUUUAUACGAGAUCUAAAUACGGAGGCCCUAAGUAUGGUACAAACAUCAUGCAUGUUUGUUCUCUGUGUAAGGUACCUCGAUUGAUGACGAUGAUAUCAAAGAGCAGCUCAAAUCACAAAUUCAAAGGCUGAAAAUUGUGCAGAUACCACAUGAUUCUCAUAUAUCCAAAAGGUAAGGUAAAAAUCUGACACAUCCGAAAAUGAUUUGACAAGUAAAAUCUUAUUUAUUAGGUUGUCUUCUCCCCAAUUUUAAAGGAUUAGGAUUCUCUCAUCUCAUCUUUCCAUCUCCUUCUAUCUCAUCCCUCUCACAUUCUUUUAUUUUGUCUUUCUCUUGCUAUAAAAAAAUUAAUAUAAGAUGUUGACGUGUCUUAAUCGUGACCCUUCAAUUAGGAGGUAAGGAAAGCUGAGGGAAAAAAAAAGGGAGAGAAUCCUACUCCCAAGUAAUAAUUAGUUCUAUCUUCCCUCCCCCUUCUAUCCUAUUCAUUAAAGAAAAAGACUAUUUACCCUAUGCGAUUUAGCCUCCGUACUUCUUACUCAAGAAAAGAAAAAGAAUUUUCUUUUAGUUCACAAUUAAAUCCCUAUCUCUACAAUUCCUUACUUUUCAUUGUAAUUUUCCAAUGAAUGCAACCUUCGAUAUGUUCUUAAUCGCCUUAUUUACUUAUUCUUGGUUUAUUUAGCAUGUUAAUUAUUUAUAUGGUCAUGAAGUUAUCAGUUAGGGUUAUGAUUUUAAGAAUUGUUUAUAUUUUAUUGUCAUUUUUUUUAUUGAUUAAAAAAUAAACAUAUGAUUUUAUAGUACUAAUUUCAACUAGCCCACCCAAAAAAAAAAAAUCCUAACUCUGCUAUUGGUUAAGUUGUGAGGAUCGGUGGUGCAUCAGAGAGAGACAGAGAGACGCAGAGCUACCUACGUCACUCCAGUCCCAAAAAAAAACACUUUCUUUAUAUUUUAUUAUGUCUCCUUCUAUGAAAUUUUGCAAUAAGGUAAGCUUGUCAUUAAAACUUUCAUUAUAAAGGAAAAGGAUCCGGCAACCGUUCAUAGUACAUUGGGCGGUCAAUUUUCGUUAUAUAUUAUUUAUAUUUAUUUUAAAUGUUAAAAUGAUUUUUGACCGCACAAUAUACGAUAAACGGUCAUAAUCAUAGGAUCCCUAAGAUCUCGCUGGAUCCUUUUCCUAUUAUAAAGUGGGUGGAAUAAUAGACAAUAAGUGGCGGGACUGAGUCUGAGAUCCUCGCAGGAUCUCUUUUCUACGGUUUGACAGACCCUUAAAUCCUGCUCGUUCACACAAAUCAAACGACCAUAAAUAAAUCACAAAAACGACGCAGUACCACCAUUUUCUUCUAUUCACUUAUGCUCUCUCCUCUUUCUAUUUCUGUUCACAGCCUCCAUCUCCAACCUUCUUCCUGGAUUUUGUUAUCAUUAAUUCCAUGGAGUUCUUAAUAGGAAAAAAAAUGCAAAAAUAGUUCUUGGUUUUUUUUAUAAAUUUUUUUUCAGAACCUAGACAUGAAGAGAGGCAGGGAAAAUUUCUAAUAGCAUAUCGGUGGAAAAUUGCAAUCAAAGGGGAAAAAUAAAGAGAUUAGAAAGAAAAACAGUGAAUUAUGAGUCUUGAUUACUGAUGUCCAUGGCGAUGGUGCUAUGAAUAGAGAGAGAGAGAGAGAGAGAGAGAGAGAGAGAGAGAGAGAGAGAGAGAGAGAGAGAGAGAGAGAGAGAGAGAGAGAGAGUGAAGAUAAAACGGAACGGAAGGUAGAAACUAGAAAGGGGUGGUUUACCCAAAAAAAAUAAAAAACUAGAAAGGGGUGAGGCUAUUAACUACAUUGAGAAAGAAUCAAAGAGCAAUAAGAAAUGUAGGAAAAUGGAGUACUAGAGAGAGAAACAAUUGAGAGAGAGAGAGAGAGAGAGAGAGAGAGAGAGAGAGUACACUGUAUAAAGUGUAUUUAAGACUUAAUGAAAUGGAUCAUCAAAAUUACAGAGUUUUUGUACACACAUAUAUCUAGAUUAAAGAUUCAUUCUUACACUUCUAAGUGACUAACUAAUUUUUUUAACAAUCUAACAGCUUUAGUAUGACAUGGCAGUCUCACUAACUAAUUAAUGUUGAGCUGUCACGACACUCAACAGAGGCAAUCUCGUUUGGUGUGAAUUUUUUUUUAAUUUUAUUUAUGGUCGUUUGAUAUGUGUGAACGAUCAAGAUUCAAGAAUCCGUCGGAUCCGCAUAAUUAAAGAGACCUGGAGAUGAUCUGAGUCCGGGGUGGGCAUAUUAUGAUUAUUUUAUUUAUAAAAAAAAUUCAUUUAAUUUGACUACCUUUGAACUUUCUAAGUUGGGAACUUGCCGAAGAAUGGUUGCCGCCAUAAUAUUUCGCUAAGGUAGUGUUGCACAUGCUGAAUAUUUGUUGCUGCAAGUUUGUAAUUUUAUUUGCUACUUGAUGCAAAGGAUUGUGACUCAAGUGAACAAAUUCAGAGUUUUACGGAUAUAAUUUGGUUCUUUUUAAUACAUAAUAUUACAAAGGCCUAGAAAUUUUUCUUGAAGGAAUAUGGUAACAUGUUUUCCACAUCUUGGCCUGCAAUUUAUGUGAAGGGGUAUUAGUGUGUGUUAUUUGCUUUGGUAAGAUGUGUGUUAUCUGCAUUGGUGUUGGUAAGAUAUGUGUUAUCUGCAUUGGUGCAUUUGAGGGUGUGAUUCACUUCCUACCUCUUUUUUAGUGCAUAUUUUUGUGCAAAUUAUUCUUGCCUAUUAUGACUAAUACAUUCAAUUCCCGCAACGAAGCAUGCGCGAGUUUUCUAAUGAUUUCUAAAGUUGUUCACAUCAAUAAUUAAAAACUGUGAGUGUCAACUUACUUUUCUUCCUUUCCAAAAAGUGGACUGUCUUUUUAUGAAAUCUUAAUUGCACAAUUUUAUGAUAAAAAAUGUAUGAGAAUUAUAAACUUCUAUUCUUUAUUUCGGAUUUGGAUCCUCUUGAUCAAUCAUUGUGGGCCGUUGGAUAAAAAUCCAACGGCUAUAAUUAUAAUAACUUUAAAAGGACUUCUCUGUUUGUAGCCGUUGGAUAAAAAUCCAACGGCCCACGAUGACUGGUCAGGAGGAUCCUCUCCAUUAGCCCAGGAGAGGAUCCAAAUCCCUUUAUUUCAUCGGAGGACAACCAAAUAAGGUAAAACACACUAUCUCCCAAAACUAACAAGGAGAGCAAGAACAAAGGCGCUCCUGAAUCCAAACUAUAAUUUGAGCAUUGCGAUUAAACAAACUUGGCAUAUGGUCUCUGGCGGCCUUUUGCCUUCUCAAGAUUGAUCAAUCUAUGCUUGGCUGCGCUGGUUACUUAAGUCUUGUGCAAGAAAACUAUCAGAAAGCAGUGACUUCAUAUUCUCCACAAGGCUUGGAAGGCUAUGUUGAGAAUUAUAAUCAUACAUCAAUGGGACCAUUCUAGCAACAUUAAGAGCAAGUUUUAUAAAGGAUGCUGAAAAUGGAUUUGAUGCAGACAAACAUUCUUGGUUGAGGAACUUCCAUUCUUCCGAAAUCCUAUGGACAACGAAUGCUCGUGCAUCUUCCUCUGAACAACCUUGAUUUUCAUUCAUGUAACACUCUAUGUAUGAACUAUCAUUUCCAUCUUGGUCCUCAUCCUGCAAUUAAUCCAGAAAAUAUCCUUACAAUACUAUAUUUUUAUAAACAAGUGCUAAAUGUAACUCAAACUAACCAUAUCAAAAUACAAGUACGAAACUUGGCACUUCCAGAGUCAUCCCAUAGCCGAAGAAUUUUUUCGGUUGAAGAUAUAAUGCUAGAUAUGUUGAUGUUGUCCAGAAUACGUACAGUUUCCUUGCUUAUACCUUGACCCAGUAAGAAGAAUGCAUGUGUUAGAACCACAUGCACCCCUGAACUGAUGAACCCGUUGUUCAAGUACUCUUCACUUUUUGGCAAGUGCCUGCAACUAAACCAUCGUGCUUCUAGUUGUUUGGAUCAAAACUUGAACUUUGGGCUCAAGAAAUGAGCUGGCCCAAAAUGAGGCCCGAAGGGAAAGACAGCCGAAGCCCAGUUAAAGCCCAUAAGGCAGAAAGGGCCUUUUCUGACUUGGUGCAGCUUAUGAAGACCACUUGCUUACCUACCCAAAAGCCAAGUGGUGUAGACUGAUCAGCUACACAUCCCAUAAAGCACUUUAUGGUGGCAUUACAUGUAAAAUAGCUUAUGAGUCAUCACCCUCAAACCGUAUUCGGGUAAGGCUGCUGCUACAGAAGGCCAAGCCGAGUUGUCUAUAUAAGAAGAAAGAGAAACCAGGAAUAAGGACACUCAAUCAAACAAACAAAUGCAAGCACAAACUCUGCUCAAAGCUAGAUUUGCCUUCAAACAAAGCUGUAGUCAGCCUUCAUCCCUCUCGGGACAAGCCUUCAUCCCUCGCGGGAUAACCCUCCCUUCAAACCUUUGUAAUAGCUCUGCUACCCUGUUCAACCUUGCUGUAGUAUCGAUUCAUCUUUUGUAAUCCCUCUCUCUAUCCCUCUAAGCUGUCAGACCCUUGACAAAACUACAAAGAUAGGAACCUACAGGACGAGCAGCCUUACCUGAUAAGGUUUAACCUUGCCCGACCUUCUUUGCUUUGUUUUUGUCUUUUCAAUAUGUUGUAUACGUCCAGUUGUAUGCAAGUUAUUUCUAGCAAUAUGACUAUUAAAAGGCUUUCUCAAUACUUGAAUCCGAUUUGAAUAUAUCUUCAGUGUUCAAACCAGAUCCAAGUCCUAAGCCCUCGGGCAUGUAAAUCUGAUCGGUUAAAAGUCCUUGGCCUCAAGGCAUAAAAAAGAACCUUAUGUGGACUUAACCCAUCCACGACAGUCCUUGAUAAACGAGAAGUCCGAAGUUACUUUGGGCACAAGUAAUCGACCUACCCUCUAGUUUUAUUUCUAUUAUGUUAUGAUUACCAUAGAACGCUUGAGCAUGAAGUGGAUUCUGAUGGAAAGCCUCAAGGCCUACACCUAAGGCCCCACAAAGGCAUCCAUUUGGAUUCAUUCCGUUCUGCGAUCUAGAGAGUCUAAGUAUAAGGAUGAACUCUGAUGGGAAGCCUCAAGGCCUAGGCUACACCUAAGGCCCCACAAAGGCACCUAUUUGGGUUCAUUCUACUUCUUGGACUCGGGUAAUCAGAAGUAUAAUAGUUAGAAAACUCCGGCAAUCACAAGAACAAAUAUGAUGUGUUUGAGCACUGGUUUAGUUAUUUAUGGGAAGCUUCAAGGCCUACACCUAAGGCCCCACAAAGGCACCUGUUAUAACUAACACGGUUUCUCGGAUAUAUACAUAUAUACAAUUAAAACUCGACAUCCAUUUUACAUCUACCAUGCUGAAGAUGGCAGUGGCACGCCUGAGCACCUAAAAGUUAACCUUGAUUGUGAACCUCAAGGCCUAUACCUAAGGCCCCACAAAGACACCUCUCAAAGUUAACGUUGUCCUUCUCUUUCAGCUUUGCCCGACGAGCCUUGCCCGAAGAGUAUUGCCCGACAAGACUUGCCCGACAAAGCCCGAUAGCGAAGCAGAAGCCCGAUAGCAGCCCUCAACCGGCGCCAACCUCCAGAGGAGCUGUGUGCUCGUCGGCCAGGAAACAUCCCCGACAGAAAUUCCUGACGCGAACACUAGUAGGAACGCUUUGCAUAAUGUUGCCCACUGCAUGCAUGCAGUACUAUAUUAUUAACAAUAAAUCCAAAUCUGAAUUGUAAUGCGUAAGUCAUUGAAUCGAAGUUAACUUAUAUACCGAUUUUUUAAGGGGCUCUAGAGGGUUCCAUCCAUGCCUUUUGUGCACAAUGUAGCUGGUUUCAUUGGUAACGUCAUAAAGAGCCUUAAAACAUAUCUUCAUGUAAUUCGGUAGUUCAAAUUAAGGUGAGUAUAAAAUGUAUAUUGUAUUUCUAUAUUAUGAUUUACAAUAGAGAUGCUCUUUAUAGGAGCCAAAGGAGUGGACAACAACUAAUGGAAAUAGUAAAGAAAGACUAAUGGACAAUUAGUGGACUAGACAAAAUUAUGAAAGGCAUGUCUAAUGGAAGUACUCAUGAAAGGCUAGUGGACAAGCAAUCAAUGUGUUGAGAAGAAGAUUCCCUUUUACGCCCCCGCAAGACGGUGGUCCUGUCAGAGACACCGAUCUUGGAUCGUAACAAUUGGAAGCGUGGACGAGGAAGAGCUUUUGUGAGGACGUCUGCAAGCUGAUCCUGAGUAGAAACAUGUGAAACUUGAAGAAGCCCGUGAUUGAUGCGAUCACGAACAAACUGAAAAUCAAGUUCAAUGUGCUUCAUGCGAGAGUGAAGAAUAGGAUUGACACUAUAAAAAGUUGCCCUAAUAUUGUCGCAGGAAAUGGUUGGCUUAUCCAUUGAGGAGACACCAAGCUCAUGGAUAAGGGAUUGAAGCCAAGCUAGUUCAGCAGUAAUAGAGGCUAUGGCGCGGUAUUCUGCUUCCGUAGACGAUCGAGCGACAAAACAUUGUUUGCGAGAGCUUCAAGAGAUUAAGUUGCCACCCAAAUAGAUGACAUAACCCGUGGUAGACUUACGGUCAUCACGAUCACCAGCCCAGUCAGCGUCUGAGAAGGCAUAUAGACGAGAUGAGGCACUGCGGUGGAAGAGAAUGCCAUGAAAAACAAUGCCUUUUAGAUAGUGGAUGAGACGUUUCAAGGCCUGCCAAUGAGACUCAGUGGGUCGAUGCAUGAACUGUGAGAGUUUGUUGAUGGUAAAUGAGAUGUCAGGGCGGGUGAGACUGAGGUAUUGGAGACCUCCAACAAGUUGUCGAAAGGUAGUAGCAUCAGUGAGAGGUGAGCCAUCAGAGAGAAUCAAAGGAGUAGAGGUAGCCAUUGGUGUGGUCACAUCCUUAGCAUCAUCCAUUUUAGCUUUAGCGAGAAGAUCAUGGAUGUAUUUAUGUUGAGAAAGAAACAAACCCGUGGUGGUGGGUAUCACUUCAACCAAGGAAAGGAAAUGAAGGUUCCCAAAUCUUUGACAAAAAACGAUUUCCAAGACUUGAAUGAACAUAGAGAGGAGACUGGUAUAUAUUUAUUUCCUGUAAGAAUAAAGAAGAUCAUCAAUCAACAUAAACUAGAAGGAAUAUCACAUCAUUAUCCUGACGAAAAAUAAAGAGAGAGAUAUCUGAGAUGGCAUUGAUACAAAUCCUUGAUUGAGCAAAAAGGUGCUCAACUCCUUGUACCAUGAUCGGGGCCUGCUGCUUGAGGCCAUAUAAAGCUUUGCGAAGUUUGCAGACAUGUGUUGGAAUGGUAAAUUCACGAAUAACUGUUGACCAUGGGGAAUUGUACCCAUGUGGUUUUCAAACAAUCAUUUCAGGAUAGUGAUCCAUGCAAAAAGCAUUGUUCACGUCUAAUUAUUGACGAAGAGGCCAACCCAACCAUGUUUGAGUGAGCCAAAUGAAGAAACAAUACGGAUGGUGGUGAGUUUUGAAAACACAACUGACUGAAGGUGUUUUAAGAGAAAUCCACGCCAGAGACAUUGGUGAAAGCCUUUAGCACAAAGGCGUGCUUUGUACCUAUCAAUGUUGUGCAUGGAAUGUGCAAGCCAUUUCAGAUUCAUUGUGAAUCUUUUUGAUGCGGAAGACCCCAUUGCAACGCCCGAUAGAGAUUCUGUGAAGGCUUGUUAAGGAGGAAGGAACAAGCUCCCAUGUGCCAUUGCGGAUUAAACGCCUUAAAAACUCGGACGACACUUGCUGGCACGAGCCAAAGAGGGAUCUUUUAAUAGCCUGCAGAAACACAUGUUGGUUCAAUGGAAGGAAGUGGGAAUGUGGUGCUUUGGUGGCAGUUGGGAAAUUGUUUUUUAGGUCUUUAAGAUAUUGUUUUUGGCUUCUGGUAAUAUGGGGUGAUGGUUGAAAUUAUUAGGUGGUGGUGGUGGUGGGGUAAAGGAAUGUAUUUGGAUGUGGUGGUGGGGGUAAAGGAAUGAUAGAGGGGUGUGGUGAUGGGUAUGAGAUGAGAUGAUGUUGAGGAGGAGGGGGUAAGUAGUCGCAAAUGGUGAUGGUGCAGCGGCAGAGAAAACACAAAACUCCGAGACCUCCGUAAAGAUGUAUGAAUGGCAGCAUGCUGAGAAGAGGUGUGUGUGAGGAACUGGUGGCACUUCGGGCAAUGUGAGCAGGAAUGGAGAUGGCGGCUUGAGUGACAGGAGACCAUGCAGUGGAGUCGGGGGAAGGAACUGAAGGGAGUGCAAAACAGAGUCAAAAGAAGAAAAGGAAAGUGUUUUCAUCAAAUCGAACGUGACGGGAAACAAACAUACGACGGAAAGGGAGAUCAAGACAUAGAUAAGCACUUUGAGUAGAGGAGUAACCAAGAAAGAGACAUGGACGAGAUCGAGGAAGAAGCUUGUUGGAAUUAUAGGGUCUUAACCAAGGGAAACAUAAGCAACCAAACACACGAAGCUUAAUGUAGUUAGGAAGAUCACCAAAGAGAGCUUUGUAUGGAGAUAUAUUAUUGAGAACAUGAGUGGGCAUCCUAUUAAUAAGAUACACAGCAGUUUUGAAAGCAUAAUGACCAAUAAUAAGUUACAAAGAUAGGGGUAAGGAUGCUUGGUGGAGAAGUGUUAACCCUGUUUUCGACAACAUGGCGGUGGCGGCGUUCAGUACAACACCAUGUGUUCAGAAGUGUGUGGAUGAGUGGUGAGGUGAGUGAUGCCAUUUGUGGAAAAGAAAAUGUUUGAGUUUAACAUAUUCUCCUCCUCCGUCAGAGUAGAAGGUGAUUAUUUUGGUGUGGAAGUAGUUUUCUACAAGAGCUUUAAAGGUUGUGAAGAUUGAGAAAACAUCGGAUUUGUGUUUCAUGGGAUAAAACCAAAUAUAUUUCGUGAAAUGAUCGACAAAGAUAACAUAGUAUGAAAAACCAUCAGUAGAUAAAUAGGAGGAGCAGGGACUUAUACAUACAUCACUAUAAAUUAGUUCAAGGGGACGCUUACUAACAAGCGUAGAAUGACCAAACGGGAGCUUGUGGCUCUUAUUGCAAUGACAAGAAGUGCAAAGGAGUUGAAGACAUAGGAAUUGAGGAGGUACGUUGGAUUUGAAGAUAGGUUCGAUGGUUGGGGUGACCAAGCCUACGGUGCCACACAUUGGAGGAGUCCAUCACACUACUCAUAACUUGUUUUUGAGGCAUCAAGCACGGCCACUCAUAUGUAUCGUUCUUAUUCGGGCCUCGAAGAAGUGCCGCUCCCAUGUUGAGAUCCUUGACAAGAAAGGAAUCAGGAAAAAAUUCAAUAGAGGUGGCAUUUUGUCUAUUAAAUUUGGCAAUGGAAAUAAUAUUACGGGAAAUGGAAGGAACACAAAGGACACCAUUUAAGUGAAAUGGGGUGGUAGAGGAAGAAGAGAGUGAUGUGGAACCAACAUGUGUAAUACUUAAACCUGUUCCAUUACCAAAUAACAAUUUGAUCAGGACCAUCAUAGGUAGUGGAGUCCGGAUGUUCCUGGAGUCAGAAGUAAGACAUGGUGAGAGCACUCGAGUCGAGCAGCCAAGCAGCCAAGGAGAUGAUGUUGAGGGGCGGAUAGUGGUGUGGUUGACCAUGGGUGGAGCGGAAGAAAGUUGAGGGCAACGUUUUGCACUAUAUGCCCUUGAGUACCACACCAAUGACACAAAACCACGAUACCCCGUAUAGAGAACGAUGAUGAUUGGAGUUUGUGGUGGUUAGCACGGUUAGAGUUGUAGGUGGUAUUUGUUGGACGCUGCUGGGAGGCUUGUGUGGCCCUGAAGUCACGCUAGAAGGAGCGGGGAGCUUAAGCAACAAGGGCAGUCAUAGGAGUAACAGCAGCUGGUGGUGCAUCUCGUUGGAGGAAAGUUUCAUGUUCAAUGAGUUUGUCAUACCGAUUUUCAAAAGAGAUGGAGGUAUCGCUAGCUCGAACAACGACAACGAUUUCUUUGAAGGCAGGUCCAACACCAUUGAGGACGUGUAGAACAACAUCAUCGUCGGAGAGUGGAGAAUCAAUGAUGGCAAGCUCAUCAAUGAUAACUUUGAUAGCUUGUAGAAAAACUGACACAGGUUGUGUAUCGCGACGCAUGAGCGUAAGACGCUCUUUGAGGUUGAGAACCCGAGAGCGUGUUUUGUUGGCGUAGAGCUUGGUGAGCUUGUCCCAAGCCUCCUUAGAUGUUUUAGAGAAGGAAAUGAGAUAUAUAAUCUGUUCAGAGACAGAAGCUAAGAUAGCAUGUAGUAGCAGCUGAUCUUGACGAAUCCAGAAGGUGUAGCACACAGUAGAGGAGGCAGCAGGACGUGGUUUUGAUCCAUCAAUGUAACCCAUCAGGUCAUACCCAAGAAGCAGGGCAUUGAAUUGAGCUCGCCAUGAAGGAAAGUUGGUGGGUGUGAGUUUUAGAGGUAACUGAGCAGCAGCGUUAAUGGUGAUAGGGGUGGGCAAGGGGGGUGAGUUGGUGGAUUCAGCCAUGAGGAUCGGAAAAAAAAUUGCUCGAUGGAGCUUUGUUGCUCUUGAUACCAAAUUAAGGUGAGUAUAAAAUGUAUAUUGUAUUUCUAUAUUAUGAUUUACAAUAGAGAUGCUCCUUAUAGGAGCCAAAGGAGCGGGCAACAACUAAUGGAAAUAGUAAAGAAAGACUAAUGGACAAUUAGUGGACUAGACAAAAUUAUGAAAGGCAUGUCUAAUGGAAGUACUCGUGAAAGGCUAGUAGACAAGCAAUCAAUUUGUUGAGAAGAAGAUUCCCUUUUAGUUCACCAGUUGCAUCAAUAUCCCAUCUGCAAAUAAUUAAUUACAUGCGUUAAUGUCAGCGCAAGUGACUAUGAAUUAGACCGCUGAUAGUCAUGCAUGAUUCAAAUUCACAAUCUAGCAACAUAUUCACAUUUUAUUUGCACACUAGUGUAACAUGUAGGAUAUCAUAAAACCACACAAGUACACGAACCUCUCAACUGCAGCUGUGAAGAGAAUGAGUUCAUCGAGGGUGCCCUGAACAUCAAAAAUAUCGUCAAUUAUGUAGACAAGAGAGAUCGAUUUUGUGAGUUCAACCCUUUCCUCUGAUAAGCUUGGAUCUGCUAGGCAUGCCAUCGGCCACGUAUACCAUUUAAUUGGCUGGUCUCUCACGAACUUCAACUCCUUAGUCAAGCCUAGUUCUUUCCACCACCUAAUUAUUACGAUGAAAAAUAUUUUCAUUAAUUAAAAAGGAGUACUAACUUAAAAUCAGUGUCUAGUGUCUUUGGAUCUGAACUCACUUGGAUACUUGUUGAACUUCAUUUCGGAUUAGAGAUUCAACCAUGUUGAACUCUAGUUUUGCUAGCUCCCGCAAAACAUUGACCCAUUUCUCCUUCCCUUCGAAAUUAUUUAAGUAGUUCUUAGCCAUGAAUCUUGUCAAGCUCUUGUGAUAAGGAUGCUCUAAUGAGUACGCGAAGGAUGAAGCUUGAUGAUCAUCGAGGUUGUUUUUCAUCCAAUCCGUGAGAAGCUGGUGGCUUCGCCUUCCAGCUUCAUCAAGUGACUCUUCUCCUGGGAAGCUCAAAUGAGAUGCUUCAUAUAAUCCUACUAAUCCGCUUAUGUCGACUUCCUUGUUGUUCUUGAACUUAUUAAAUAUUGCAUCUGUUAAUCACAAGGAAAAUUAAUUACUUUGUAGUAAUGGUGACAUUAGCUUUCAGAGUAAUGUUAGACAGACCAAAUUUUUCAACCAAAUUUGACAUUUGUAUCAACAAACAAACAAAUAAAUGUUCACUUGGUCGUUUUAAUAAAAUAACAUUUUGCAGUAAAGUUAGGACAAAAAGAGAAUUGAGACCAACCUGUGGUUACAUGAUAACCUUGUUGUCUCAGUAGUCGAAAACGAAGUGAAACCACACCAAGUUCAUCACUGCCUUCAUCACCAUAAGCUCUCGUGCAUUGCUUUUUUUAAAUUGCUUCAAUCUCCUCUUGGAAAUGAUAGUCAACGCCUAGGCGUUGCAUGGCGUCAACCGCAAUCAAUUGUUCAUCUUCUCCGAUGUUUGCGAGUGCAUCCUUCAAUUCCUUCAAUUUCUUUGCAUAGCGAACCUGAAGGUCGCCCUAAAAGGGGAAACAUUGAACUUAGCAUGAUAAGCAAACACUAGGCUGAAAUUACAUAGUAAAAAAAUAAAGGUGAAUUGUCAAUUUAGUUUCCGAAUUAUCAUCUGAGUGAAAAUAAGUUCCUAUACUAUUUUUUCAGUCUGUGAAUUAUAAAAAUCUGCUAAUUACAUUCUUAAUAUUAGAUACGAAGCUACUAUAUUCAAUUUUCUGUCAAUUUAAGUCACGUUACUUGCAUGUGAUUCACAUUGGAAGGUAGAUUGAUAUUUUUUCAAAAGACAGUGUAUAGAGUUAACUUAGGAGGGUAAAUUAGACGUUACAUUCGCAACCUAUAUGAAAUGUUAAAGGCUUAUAAGCGAGAAAAUGAUAGUAUUAUACUCUAAAGUAACAAGUGACUUAAGUUGACGAAAAAUUGGAUAAAAUAGCUUUGAAUAUAAUAGUAUGAAUGAUAUUAGCAAUUUUUUAUCAAUUUAGGUACUUAUUUUACUGAAAAAAUAAUUCUAGGACCUAAUUUUCUUUAAGGUGAUAUUUUAAGGACUAAAUCGGCACUUUAUUCUAAAAGAAAAAGAGAGAGAAGAUAGUGUGUGGAGUAAUUAAGUAACCAAGUAGUGUUAGUUUUGGUACAUGAGUAGUGGAUUUGUGGAGCAAUUUGGACACUAAUGUGUAUAUAAAAUAUAUAUAUAUAUAUAUAUAUAUAUAUAUAUCUAUAUGUUGGGUUAUUAUUUUUGGAACUUACAAUAACUUGUCCCUUGGAGGAAGCAGAGUGAGCUUGAAGGAAGUGUGCCAUUUUCUACAAGAAAGAAAUUAAGAAAUUCCAGUUUUGGAUGAGAGAAAAUACUUGUUGGGAAUGAAGUGAGGUGAUCAGCUCAUGGUGAUUCCUAGUGAAUUUAUAGGGCAAUGUCUCUUGGCAUCCAAUGCAAUGGAGCAUGCGGAGCAGUGGCGGAGCCACAUGGAGACUAGGGUAGUCCAGGGCCUAUCCUGGAAAUAAAUUUAUAGCGAUUAUGUAGUAAAUUUUGCAGUAAUGUGCAAGUGGUGUGUUGGUAUGUUAGGUUUUAAUGGUUUCAUUAGGUCUUGGGGUCGAUGCUUGCUGACGAAAAGCUAUUUUUUGGUAUUUUUUACCAAUUAUCAUAUAUAACUAACCUUCUGCUAACAUUCUGAUUUCUUUUAACCAAUUAUUUUUGUGUUAGUUCAUAUAAAACAAGGUAUAUAUAUUCGGGAGGAAGAUUAAAUGAUAUUAAAAAAAAAGUAUCGUAAUAAUAGCUUAUUUUUUUGUUAGUUCAUAUAAAAUAAGGUAUAUAUAUUCAAGAGAACGAUUCAAUAAUAUUAAAAGAAAAAUAUUGUAAUAAUAGAUUGAGCUAGUUAUAACAUUAUUAUUAAUGUUGCGUUAGAUGUCAACACAUGUUCUAUUUACUAUGACAUCUCUCAAUACUAAUUUUUUCAUACAAAUUUUAAAGCUCCAUCACUCUUGUUUGAUUCAAAUUUUCCAUGAUAUUACUAUUUUUUUUUCUAAUUUCUUUCAUUAGUUUAAAGGCCUUUGUGGCAUGAAUUUCUGGCUCCGCCACUGAUGCGGAACGUUUUGCACACUUUAGUGGUGGGAUCAAUGUGCACGAUGAUGAAGUUGAGUACUUGAGCUCGAUUGAUGCAUAUUUUUGUCUUAACAGUACACAACGUUUUGCACCCUUUAUUGUUGGAGAAAUAAGAUAGUUGAAUUCGUCAGGGACUUGAUAUUAACAAUGCAAAAUUUUAUUCUACACUUCUUAUAAGUGUAUUUUUCUUUUUAAUUAUAGAAAGUUUAGAGUGCAAAAUAAGAUUUUUAAAGUGCCAAUAACAAUCUCAUUUUCUAUAUGCUAAAACUCGGUUCAAAAAACAUUGUUCACCAACCGUAAAAUGACAAAUGGCCCUCCACUAGCUCUCCAUUCCUCGUUCUUUUUCCUCCUUAGCAUAGUGGAAUGACGCCUUUGUCCACACUGCCCACGUGUCGAUCAUCAUCCAAUGCUCUGCUUCGACUACAUCUUCUCGACUCUUCAUUCCAAUUUCACUUCUUCGUGUCUAUUUUUUGACAUUUUCUGUAGCAUUUAGCCAACAACCCAAGUUAUAUGCUUAACUAUUGUAGCUCCCAUUUUUAACCGUACUUAGGGGAGGGGGCUCAUCAGAUUUUGGUGGGCAACAAUGCAUCUAACCUCCUUGACCGUCCCUAAAAUUCCAUUUCAAUCUCACUUUUAUCCUUUGAAACUCAAAUUUCGCCUAUUCCUUUUCAAAAGAGUAGCAAAAAAUAAGCAUAGAAAUGUUAAGACUUCACUGAACUCUUCUCCUUCUAGCAGACGAUAGCCACAUAAAACCAAAACCUAUCCACACCAACAAUCCUUAGAUAUACACAUAAGCACAUGAAAUUAACUGUAAUUUUACAUAUUUAAGCUAUUUAAAGCUGUUGGGACAUUAUUUCAGAAAAAAAUGGCCAGUGGAUGAAGAUUGAAGAAGCCUCCUCUUCUUUUCUUUUUUUCCUUUUUUUUCAAUAUAUGUGGCACCAUUUGGUUGGAUGCGUUGAUCUUAUACUUAUGUCUUAGUAAACUUAACGAAUAUGUAACAAACAAGAUAAAAAUCAAGCAAAAAUGGAACGAAAAUUUAGUUCCAAGGUAUUAAAUAGAAAAUUUUGAAUUCAAUGGGAAAAUAAGAUUAAAAUCAAGUUUGAGGAGGCAUAGGAAAAAUAAAAAUGUUGCUGUUUCAUUUAAAACUCAGUCAAUAGUUAAUACAGUUACACAUCAAUGGUAGGGAUGAGCAUUGGACAAACAUAGUGGGAUUGGAGUUGGGCAAUCCAUGUCCAUUAAACAUAAGGAAAACUAAUGAAAAGAGCUUGAAAACUUUGAGUUUUAAUGAUAAAGACAAAAUAAAGGGUAAAGUGAAUAGUACCAGGAUUGACUUUUUAGUGUAAAAAUGUGGUUUUUCGUUAAAGUGAACAGUUUCAUGAGUUUUUCGUUAAAGUUCUCUUAAACAAAUGAUGAAUGGGGACCAUUACCCAAAAAAAUCCAUUUAUACAUUUAAUGGAGACCCGUAGUCCUUCCUACACAACCCAUUCCCACCGAGAGAAGAUGAGCGAGACAGACCACAAAUGCUACUCAAAAGUAUGAUCUCUUGCCUUACAUUUUAACGUUAAUUUUCGUGUUAUAAUUAUAAAACGUUAUCCCAACAUUAUAAAACAUUUGUCUCACUUUUAAGACCAAAUCUAACCCUGGGCUAAAUGCUAUUUUGUAGGUUUUAUUCCCCCCCCCCCCUCAAACCCAACCCAACUCAUGUAAAUGUGUGGGCUAAAAGCUAAAUGCCAAAUUCCCCCUAGGAUUUAGCCCAUAAAAUGGUGUGGGCACCACCAGAGGGACCCCACCUACAUGGGCAUGUCUCACAGGAUUUAAUGAAUCCAACGGCUGAGAUCGAAUAUAAUCAAAUUUAACUGUAAAAAAAAAAAUCUAACGGCCCAAAUUUAAAUCUAACGGUUAAAAUAAUUAAAAAAAAUUAUUUAACUCAAAAUUCACCCAAAUUUAGUGGUUUUUCAAUAUUUAUCAGAAUUUAAAUAUUUUUAUGUUAAAAUGUUAAUAAAAUUAAAAUUAUGAUAGUGUACAUAAUUUAAUUUUUUUUUUAAAUUACUUUAAAAGAAGAACAACAACCCAAAACGCUAACUUUGUGGAACUUUCAUUGUUUUUGUUAACAUUGAUUACGACCCCCGAGACUGAAAGCUAAAUUGGUAUUAAUUCCACUCCAUGCAUCUUGCUUUUUCACCUACAUACACAGCUAAGAGCACUUCUAAAAGAGAUGUCAAAAUAUAAAUGUUAAAUGUUAAUUUGAUGGCUGACGUGGCAAUGUUAGAUUUUCUCUUUUUCCAACUGAUAUGUUUCUUUAUUAUAAAUGAUAUCUGUAGGAUUCAUUUUAAAAAUAAAUCAAUUAAAAUACAUUUUCAAAAUCUAUAAUUGAUGCAUUAAUAAGCCUCACACAGUAAAAUAAUUAAAAAAAAUUUGACAUCAAAGUCAUUACAAAUUGUACCAUCUCAAUCAUAAACGGCAUCCCUUCUGCACAACAUGGUAAAGUUUUUUCACGUUCCUUGUCACAUUAGUCCAUAAAACAACAAAGGAUCUUUAAUCCCAGUUUUACCGACCAAGCGAAAACAAUCCUUAUCCAAAGGAUUGCAUGGGAUCUUCAUUUGAACUUUAGCAGCCUAUCUUCGAUCCUAAUGCAAUAAUACCAUGACAAAAUCACAAUAAUAAAAAAAAAAAGGUCGUACCCAGUGCACAAUAAUAAUCACUGAAAAUCUAACGUGUAAAACCGGAAUCCUUUCUUCAUCCAACAAGCCUUAAUUAUAUCGGGCGAUAGUGUUAAAUCGAGUCUAAACAAUUAGAGAUUAAACCAUGCUGAACUCUAGUUUUGUCAAGCUCUUGUGAUAGGGAUGCUCCAAUGCAUAUGCGACUGCUGAAGCUUGAUGUGUUAGUGUUGAAGAACAAUGUUUGAGUUAUAAUUUUAGUCUUGAAAAGGCUCAAGAGUUAAAGAAUAUGUGGAACAAACAAUAACAAUACUUUAAUGUGAAACGGAAAGUCCAAUUUUUGUUACAGAACUUAAAAUAUGUUUUUAGAUGUAUAAACGACCUUGGUUAGGGAUUGGUUUAAUUAAAAACAUGUAUAAUUAUAUGUUUACUGUAAUAAUCUUGAUCGUUAAAUUUAGUCAAUGGACGAGAUUACUGAGAGGAACAAGAGGCAUGUUCAACAACUAUUCAUAUAUGUGUUGUCACAUUACAUUUUCUACUGCUAAAUAACCUAGUCCAAUAUGCUCAACGGGUACAUUUUCUUUUUGGGCUACGGUCAAGACUCAAGCCCAUAUCCAAAGAGUUCGAGUUGUAUUUUUUACAUUACGUAUUUUAAUAGAAAUUGUGAGAAAUUUUACUUUUUAAUUAUUAAUUUUUUAGCAUGCAUAUUCCAUCGCACUGAAAAAUCUCUGGUCUCAGAAGAUGUCGUUAAGUUCUCCAGCGCUCCUUCUGCACCGCCACCCAAUCUAACGUCACCAACGGCAGGAGCAUUGGCGCCAUCUCCACCGACCUCUACAAAGAGCGCAACCUCAAACGCCUCUCAGAAGUUGUCAAUUGAACCAGAUGUGAUGUCGUAUAAUACUAUGAUCGAGGCAUUUUGUGAAAUGGGUUCGUUGGAUCGGUGGUUUCGAUGGGAUGGAGAAGAAGGGUGUUGAGUCGGAUAUAAUCAUGUUCAACACGAUCAUGAAUGGGUUGUUUGCGAAUGAUCAGUUUUUGGCAGCCGAGAAGCUGUGGAGUUGAAUGAAGAAUGUUGUCCCUGAUGUUAGGAGCUACAAUGCCAGGUUGUUGGGAUUGGCUUCGGAGAAGAAAACUGACGAGGCGGUUGAAUUGUUCGAGGAAAUGCGGAACAAGGAAGUAAAACCUGAUGUGUUAAGCUUCAAUGCCAUGAUCAAGGGAUUUGUUAAUGAGGGUAAAUUGGAAGAAGCUAAACAGUGGUAUCGUGAACUGGUGAAGCGUAGUUGUGCUCUGCAGAAAUGAACUUUCCAGGCUCUUGUUCCUUUUGUUUGCGAGAGGGGUGAUUUGGACUUUGCCUUUGAACUCGGCGACAAAAUUUUCAAAGGGCGUCUCCUUGUGGAUGUGGAGUUACUGCAGACUCUGGUGGAUGGGAUAGCUAACGCUUCCCGGAUCAAUGACGCAAAGAAGAUUGUGAGGCUUGGGAACACAAAUACAUACCUGCGUUACAAUUUGCAGUUGCCUUCAGAGGAAUAAUGUAUUUCUGUUGUUGUUUGUUUCUGUUUGCAUGUCGAAAUGUUUGUGCUUUUAUUGCUAGACACUUCUAAUUUAUAUAGUUAAAUUUGUGCAAGCUUCAAACAUUCCUUCAAUUUCAGUGUUGAAUAGUUAUUAUUACACAGAUUUUCAUACAGCAUGGAUUUCAUAUACGCCUCAAGAGGUGGAAGGUGUUGGUCAUCAUCGUAGCGACACAUUAACAGGACCAAUUCUUUGUUUAACUGCUUCCAUUCUUCUUAAAUCAUAUUUACAGCAUUUUCUUGUGUUUCCUCCAUUGAAGAACCUAGAUUUUCAUCUAAGUAGCGUCGUAUGUAUGACCCCUCGUGCCGAUCCUGAUUCUCAUCCUUCAGUCAAGCUAUGCACAUUUUGAGAGAUAUGAACAAGAUGUUUACUCUAUGUAACGUGUUUGAUUUGAAUCUAAUUAUAUAUAAUCACCUCGGCGCUUCCCAAAUCUUCCUAAAGCCGAAGAAUUGCUGCUGUGGAAGAUGCAAUUUCUAGAGUUCUAUUCAACGGCUCCACACUUUCUUUGGUUAUACUUUGACCCAAGAGAAAGAAUCUAUGCACCAUCAUCGCAUUAACCCCAGAAGAAGGGUUAAUCUCAGUUUAUUACCCUGAAAUUUCUUAGUUUUCAACUUUUGGUACAUAAAUUUUUUUUUUCAUUGUAGUCUGAUACCUAAAGUCAUAAUUCUGGGACAUUUUCAUACAUCCGUUAAGUUUUCUGUCAGGACCUCAAUUAAUUGAUGAUGUGUCGCCCACUUGGACAAUGAUUGAGCGCCACGUUUCAAUAUGGGCCUAUGUGAAUAUUAAAAAAAUUAAAGUUUUUUCUUUCUUUUCUAGGCAUCCUACUUCCCUCGGACCCUCUCCCCUCAUUCUCCCUCCAUUCUUUGCACCCACCCUCCCUGCACACCCACUAUCUGCCCUGCUCCUCUUCCACCUAUCUAGGUAUGACAUAGGCCUUGCCGCCGCACAAAUGGGUCGGCGUUAUCGAAGGUCAGCCGCAGGUGGCGGUGGAUCAACGAAGUCAAUAGCGGAUCGGCGUUUAGGAGAUAGCGAAUCGCAGUCUCGAUUGCUGAACUAUCUUAAUCUUGGAGGCCAUGGUGACGGUGAAGGGUUUGGGGGAUUCAAAUACGGCAACUAUCUGAUGGGAGGAAUUGGGUGAAGAGGGUGGAGGAGAGAGAAGAGAGGGGAGGUGAAAAGGGUGGGGGUGGGUACCGUAUAGAGGUUGGGUGGGUGCAGAGGAGAGAAGGGAGGGAGCAAGGUAGAUGUGUGGGUGUGCAAGGAGGUGGGUGUAGGGAAAAGAAGGGAGGGAGAAUGAGGGAGGGUGUAAUAUCCCACAUCGCCGGAAGAGGGGAGGUGAUGUGCCUAAUAUGUAUAUGUCCACCUCCCUACAGUAAGACGCAUUUUGGGUGGAAGCCCAAGAACAAAAUCGUGAGGGCAUAGCCCAAAGCGGACAAUAUCUUACUUUGCGGACUGGGAUGUGACAAUUUGGUAUUAGAGUCACUGCCCAGCCGAAAGUGUGCCGACAAGGGCGUCGAGCCCCUAAAGGGGUGGAUUGUAAGAUCCCACAUCAUCCGAAGGAGGGAAGGUGAUGUGCUUUAUAUGUACAUGCCCACCUCCCUAUAGAAAGACGUGUUUUGGGUGGAAGCCCAAGAACAAAACUGUGAGGGCAUGGCCUAAAGCGGACAAUAUCUUACCAUGCGGACUCGUGAGGGCGUGGCUCAAAGCGGACAAUAUCUUACCGUGUGGACUAGGAUGUAACAAAGCGAGGCGGGAAGGGUGAGGCAGGAUGCCCAGAAAAGAUUUUUUUUUUAAAUUUCCAUGUGGACCCAUAUUGACACGUGGCAUCCAGUCAUUGUCCACGUAAGUGCCACUUCAUCAAUUAACUAAUGUUCUGACGGAAAACUUAACGGAUGUAUGAAAGUGUUCCAGAAUUAUGACUUUAAGUACCAAACUGGGACAAAAAAAACUUUAUGUAUCAAAGGUUGAAAAUCAAGAAAUUUUAGGGUAGUAAACUAAGAUUAACCCCCUAGAAGAAACAAUACCAUUCUUUAAGUAGUCUUCCGCCUUCGGCAAGUGCCCGGAUUUGAACCGUUUUGCUUCUGCUAAAAUGCAUUGCACAGAAUCCUCCACUGCACGUGAUAGUAGAAUUAACUAUCUGUUAAGCCUUCUCUUGAACAAACUAGUAAUUAAAUUUCAUGACACUAACCGGUUUAAUAUAUUACCUUCUUAAACGAAUGUAAUGGGUACCACCCAUGCUUUUGAUAGAAUUUGCAGCUGAUUUCAUUCGUCAUAUUGUAAAGAGACUUGAAAUAUAUGUUCAUGUAGUCCGGUUUAAGUGCUCUAUAGCACCAAUUUCGCAUCUGCAGCGUAACAUUUACUGAUCAAUUCACGGUGAAAACUGGUGAAGCCAAUUAAGAAAGUACAGGACAUUUUAUUGUUUACAUAUUGACAGCCUCAGUGAAGAGAGUAAGUUCAUCAAGCGUCUCGUACAUCGAAAAUGUCAUCAAUAAAUGGUUUUGUGAACUGAAUCCUCUCCUCUUACAGGUUAGGAUCUGUUGAGCGCAAACUACAGUUCCCUAGGCAGUCCCAUCUCUUUCCAUCACCUAAUUAUUUUGUUGGAUGAAAUAAACAGACAAAUUAGGAUUUCUAUAGUGCAGUUAACCGUAUUGUUUACAUGCGGAUAUAUUCUUGAUAUUGAUGAUAUUGUUGGUACUUCGACCUUGUAGAUAUGUGUACAACAUGGUUGGCGAUAAAUUGGACAACAUUUUUAAGAAGUGCUGUUAAAUGCACGAUGUCAGUUAAUUUUGGAAAUUUGAAUAUCUACUUCUGAUGUAUGGACUGAACCAAAUUAAAAUCCGUUUUGCCACAUCCUGUAGCAUAUUUAGCCAUCUAUUGUUCAUGCCAGCUUGGGAAUUAGUAACAAAAAAGUGGCCAUGAAUGUGGCCAAGCUUUUGUGAUGGGGGUACUCCAGUGUGUUCCCCACAACUCUGGCCUAAUGAGGACCAGGAUAGGACAAUGAUCUAUUUACGAGAUCACUACUCAAUUUUCCAGCUUCAUCAAGUGCAUCUUCUCCUUCCCUGCUUAGCUGUAAAGCUUCGUACACACUCAUCAAUCCCUUGACCUCUUAACUAAUUAACGUUUUCUUAAAAUGCUUCCUUCGCUUUCCUUCAAGUUGUUGACACAUCUAUUAAUAACAAAAGUUAUAAUUGGGAGUGAUUGACUGAUACUGAAUAUCAAUCUGCAAUACUAAGUAAAUAUAAGAACAAAUUGUUACCGAAAUUUUAGUUAUACUCACCCUCGGACACGAAGUGACCAUGUGGCCAUAACAGAAGGGCAACUUCAUGAAGGUCAUUUUGUUGAUGAGAAAGGCCAGGAGCUGAUAGAUAUGAUUAGGUCAAUUUGUUCUUCGAUAGUGGUAAUCUAUACCUAGACGUUGAACAACAUCGAUCAUGUUCAAACUUUCGAGCGCGCCUUCUACUCCUACUUUGCUCAAUACAUUCCUGAAUGCCUCCAACUUUUAUUCAUGUCAGAAACGGCAUGUCAUCCUGCAAGCAAAGUGGAGUUAUUUGAAGAGUGGACAUAGGUUUGGAUAUAAAUAGCUGAAUGAGAUCAGAGUGCCCAAGAAGUAGGAUCUUUUUUUGAGCAAUAUUUGGAGUGGAGAUAGCAAAGAUGGCCUGAGAAGAAAAUGCCAUAGAGGGAAGAGUACAAGGUAUGUACCUCGUUUAACAAGUGUUUAAAUUUGUUGGCAUUCUUCGGCACAUGUAUCUAACCAGGGCCGGAGCCAGAUAGAUGUAGGUGGCCCUGACCCUCUCGCACCAUUUGAGCAAGCAUACAUUAUUCCUUGAUUUGCACAAGUUGUUCAUCAUUCAAUGUUACUUUUAUAUUAUAUGUUUUGCCUAUCAGCCCCCCACACAUAAAAUUUUGGUUCCGUCAUUGUAUCUAACUGUUAAAUUAAAAAAUCUAUGUUAUACUUAAAUAUAUUUUAGAAUUUUCACUUUUUUACAUAACUUUGAAAGAAUUUUUAUUCCAUGCAUCAACCUACAUUGCUCUUAAUAUAUUGAGAGUAUGAGUUCCCACAUUGAGAAUAUAAGAGACCUUAUAUGUGUUUAUAAGGAAUUAGGCUACAUUUGAUACUUUCAAGGAAUUUUUUUUGAAAUGUCAUAUGAACUUGUUCAUAUUUUCAAUUUGUUAUAUAAACUAAAUUUUAAGCAAUUUGUUAUACCAGCUUUACAAAAUCAUUAAUUUGUCAUCUCACCCCAACUCCCGUUAAGUUUUCCAUCCAAUAUAAGUCAAGUGCCUCACACAAGACUUUUGUUCGGGGUUAUUUCGGUCAUUUUAACAUCUUUUCACAAGUAUUUUACUUUUCUUUAGUACAAGCACUUAAAUUUUUUACUUUUCUUUAGCACAUAUGCAUCUACAACCCCAUUUAUGGCACAAAACGUCAACAUGUUUCUCAUUUAUAGAGCCCGUAUGAAAUUAUUUCUUAGUGACAUGCUAAAAUGCAAACUCCCACUUGUGUAUCAUUACAUAUUUGGAAUAACCAGAAGAUAGUACAUUGCGUGAUCAUUCAUUGCUAUCAUAUAAAUUUAAACACUUGUGUAUCAUUACAUAUUUAGAAUAACCAGAAGAUGUCAUUUUUUUAUAAGGAAACAUCAACGGUAUGAGAUAAUUCUUUUUACCUGAUUAUGUCAUAUUCUCAAAGGGUGCGGAGAAAGAAAUUGUUUGAUUAUGUCAUGAAUUCCCCAAUUCGGAUACUUAAUAUCUUCGUGGUAUUUAUGUAAAGAAACAAAUAAUGUUUGCAUACAUGAAGAAUAGUAAGGGUUGGUUUGGUAUUGUUAUGCUUUGAAAAAAAAACUUUUUCUGCUGUAAUGUAAAAAUAAGCUCACUUUUGUUACUUUACGUUUUCAGCUUUUUUUUUCACUCAAAACUGUGAAAAUAAGGUGUUUAUAAGUGUUUACCAAACACAUUUUUGAGCUUAGCUUUUUUUUAUACCCACUUUUUAUAAAAACAUCUCAGUACCAAACCAGUACUAAGAGAGAUUGUUGAGAGAAAGAGGAAGCUUGAAGAGGAAGAAAAGGUUAUAUAUAUUUUCAGUAGUGAAUUACAAAGAGUACAUUUGGUUAUAUAUCUGUUGUUUUAGUAACUAAGUCAACUCAACAACCGUAUAACAAUCUUAACAGCCUUAUAAUAGAUUCCCUAAUCUACUGACACAUGGCACUUUAUACAUCCAUUGAUCCUAUAUUGUUAUCAUCCCUCAUCAAGCUCAGGAAAGGAAGCACCAAGCCUGAGAUUGCAGCAAUGUGUAUGAAAAAAUGGUGUACACGAUUCUUUUGUCAAGAUAUCAUCAAACUGUUCAUUUGAUGAGACAAAUUGCAUACAUAAAAGUUGUUUAGUAACCCUUUACCUGACAAAGUGAACAUCAAUCUCUAUAUGCUUUGUCCUUUGAUGCAUGACUGGAUUACAUGUAAGAGCGAUGCCAUACAAGUUAUCACAGAACAAUGUAGAAGGAAUAGGCACUGGAAUCUGCAGAAAAACAAGUAAUUGUCUAAUCCAAUCAAUAUCAGUUGUUGUGGAGGCAAUGUAACAACCUGUCCCAUAAUUUACGGAACGAAUGGGCAUUUUUAUAAUGUCACUAAGUUUGGGAUAUUUAUUUUAAAAAUUGUUUUGGGUCUUAAUGUGUGUGCCUGUGGGGCCCACUUGUUUUGGUUUUGUUCUCCGUAGCCUUAGUCCAUCUCUCUCCUUUUUUUCUCCCUCAUCCCAUGUGAACUCAUCUCCCUCACCUCUGCCGGUUUUCCUUUACCUCUCUCAUUCUCGGUGCUCAUCUUCGACAGGAUCACACAUUACAUACACACGACAACCCCGAGGACUUCACCAGCACCCCUAACAUCUAGACCUCCUCCUUUCUCUCUCUCUUUCCCUUCGAUACAUCUCGGCACUAUACAGUCACAGUGCUUGUGACUCCGGCGAGUUUUCAAAUAUUCCGACUAAGGUAAGCACCAUAGACCUCUAUAGAUUAUGUUUUCAAGUAGAUUAAAAUGUUUUGAGACAUUUUGGGGUGGUAUAAAUGUAGAGAUAACUCGGGGGAUUAUAUUUCCAGUUUUCCAGCAAGGUUCUGUGGCUUGCAGGCCAUUUCCCGGCCGAUCCUGAUGUCAACUUCAUUCCAUUUUGGUACAACUCGAAUCCUUAUUCUCUUACCUUUGAUUUGGCCUUUUAAUGGUAGUUUUUGGUUAAGGUUUAACCCCGGAUCGAAGCCAGGGAAGUUUUCUCAGCGAAAACUCAAGAAAACCAGCGUUCUUCUCCGGUGACUCAAGCGGCUUGCGAGGCCCUUGUGCCAUGGAAACCCCCGGCCCUUUAAGGGUAGCCCAAACCCAAACCCCUUGAGUUGAGGCGCUUGGGCCAUUCAGCUAGGGCCUUCGGCCCAUUAACCUAAAACCCAAAACCCUUUUGGCAACCUAGGCCUUGGGUUGUGUAAGAAUCCCAGGCCCAAACCUCUUAAAGCUCAACCCUUUAAAAGCCUAACCCAAACCUUGGAAAGAAUCGGCCCAACCCAACUGAUGGAAUAUUCCUUUAGGGAAUAUUCCCCUGUUGACUUUUCUGAAAUUUAACCGGGACCCUUUUUAGCGUAAUUCGACGUCCUGAAUUCGUUUUUGAUGUCCAUUUUCCUAAAUUCAAUCAUUUGAAUAGAGUUUUAUUGAUUGGACCCUUUAUGUGCUUAGGUACAAUUAUUAACGGCGAUUCUAUCCAGCUUACUUCAUGCAGCUCUUCGACAACGGAGUAUCUGUGAAUGGACCCCUUCUAAAAUGCAUGUUUUAAUAGUAGAAAUGCAUACAUGAAAAGCAUGAUUUAAUAAUUACGUUUUAUGAAACGUUUUAUGAGAUAUUAUGCUUACUACGAAUAUUUUGAAUUAUCAUAUUUUAUCGAACUCAUGUUCUUUGUAGUAUAGAUGAUAGAUGACUUUAUACUGCUUAUGAACAUGCUUUUGCACACUUCUUUAUAGUAUAGAUGAUGGAUGACUUUAUACUAUGAAGAUGUUUUUGAGAUAUAUAUACCUAUGUUUGGAAAGUUUAUGUACAAUGGUUUUGUGCUUAUCUAGUGGUCACUAUACCGCCACAGGCAAGGAUUAUGGUUGUUGGCUGCGGGUCGAGAGAAAUAAUCUCUGGCUUCAGGCCGAGAGACAUGGAGCUGGCAUUGGGCCAAGAGAAAUAAUAUCUGGCUAUGAGCAUAGAGACAUAAAAGUUGGCAUUGGGCUAAGAGAUAUUAUUAUUGGAUACCACUAUUUAUCACACUAUAUACGAGAUAUGUUUUAUAAAAGAUUUUAUGGCAUGCUAGGGUUUUCGGAAAACCUAUUACAUAUUAUACUAUUGAGUUUUCAUAAAACUUUGGGGGUUAAUACGUUGAAUAACUGUUUCAAUAUUAUAUAUAUAUAUAUAUCAACUUGGUCCACUCAUGUUGUAUUACGCCCCCUCAGAACUUAGAUUCGAGGUGUACAAUCCUAGCGUCAGGGCACUCCCGCAUCAGCAUCUUCGAGUCCUCUCAGUGUAUGACUCACCUCUUGGUUCAUUCAAUUUCAUAUUAUUCCUUGUUAGUGUUUAGGAUUAGUUGUAUGCUCUGAACACAUUCCUCAUUUGCAUAAUCAUUGUAUUUAAAUUCAUAACUUUUAUUUACAUUCGAUGUUCUCAUGCAUCCUAAUAUGGCCUCAUCACCUUCGGGUGUUGGCCAGUACGUGCCUACCCUGGUCUUCAAGGAAUAUUGGGGUCGGGCGUGUCAAGCAAUGACUUUAUAUUCAGUCUCAAUAAAGAAUUGAGAAAUUGUGUUCUGUUUAUUGGAAGACCAAGAGAUAGUAGGAUUAUACCCCAAGAAAACUACAAGUCCAGUUGUUGACGUUCUGUCAUUAGGGUAUCUAGCCCAAUCAACAUCACUAAAUCCAUGUAAAUCUAAGACACCUUUAACAAAUUGAAUACCAUUGUUCUGUGUACCCUACAAAUACCUAAGUAUCCUUUUUACAGCGAGAAAGUGAGACUCCAUUGGACAAUGCAUGAACUGACAGACUAGAUGCAUUGAGAAUGCAAUAUUUGUUCUAGUAAAGGUAAGGUACUGAAGUGCCCCUACAAUACUUCUGUAUAAUUCAAGAUUGUUCCCAUCAUCUUUGAGCAAUAUGUUAUAUGACACAUUUCUGUUUUUGUAAGUAAAUCAGACACGAUCUUAGCUUGAGAAAGAAACAACCCCUCUUAAUUCUAAGUAAUCUAAAUGCCAAGAAAGUGUCCCCAAGUCUUUAAUAUCAAAUUCCUUAGUCAAGGCAGCAAUGACCAGGUUGCUAAGACUGUUAUAAGUUGUUGAGUAACAGAAAUAUCUUCAAUUGUUUUUUGUAAUGACCACACAACGAUUUUGCAUUGUAGGUAAAAAGCUCAAUUCAAUAAAUCAAAUAUUGUAACCAAUCACGUGACAUGACAAACAAUUAAUAUAUAGUUUGACUAAUUUAUAAUCACAUGACAUCUAAAAUUAUGCAUUAGUUUUAGAGAAAUUCCUCCAUAAAACUACUAAAUGUUGGGGCCACAUAUUUCCCCCAAAUUCAUGUGGACAAGCUAUUCAUGAUCCAGCUGGUUGAUGAAGUUGAGAGUAUGAACUUUAUACCGAAAAACUAAAGUCUCACUUCUUGGAUAUUUUUAUUCAUUGUUAAUCAAUUUUUAGUUGGAUGGCCACAUAAUAGUUUAGUUUGUAACAACUUAGCAAAUCUCGGCCCUUCAACAACUAGGAUAUUUUUUUCUUUCAGAAAAUAAAACAACUGAAGAGCAUCAAAUUAAUCUCUUCAUUUUGCAUUCUCCCUUCCGGUAGCGAUUCACAUGCCUUGCACUUAUGUUCUAGUUGUUUAUUCCUUGCUCAGUAGGAUAUUAAUGUAUUAUAAACUAGCUAGGGUAAUUCUAUUUGUACCCAUUGCACGUAAGAAAUCGAAAUCAAACCAACUUCAUGCAUGAAGCAUCGAUUUCAUGUACUCGUCAAGAGAUGGAAGGCACUGGUUGUCGUCGUAGCUGUACAUCAAUGGCACCAUUCUUGCGAGAUUUAGGGAAGCCUUUGUGAAUGCCGCGGGAAGUGGAUUAGGAGACACCAAUUCUUUGUUCAGCUUCUUCCAUUCUUCUGAAAUCAUAUUUGUAACAUGUUCUUGUGCUUCCUCCAUGGUCUUGCCUUGAUGUUCAUUUAAAUACAACUUUACAUAUGACCCGUCGUCCCCAUCUUGAUUCUCAUCCUACAAUCAGUACGACGAUAAGAAAAUCUGACGUGCUCUAUGUGCGUAUAUAUACAUGCAUGCUACAAAUUUUGAUGGACAAAUAUAUAUAUAGCUUUUCUGUGAUGGAGUCGGCCAAGACAUCGACCACACAUGAUAUAGAACCUCAUAAGCAGGGAUGAAUAGGCAUUUAGUUAGUAGGGUGCUUGAUAUAAAUGAUACUAUAAAUAUGUAGUUACCUUGGCACUUCCCAAGUCGUCCCAAAGCCGAAGAAUUGCUGCCGUUGAAGAUAUAAUGGCUGGAGUGCCAUUCAAGAACUCCACACUUUGAUUGGUUAUACCUUCACCCAACAGAAAGAAAAUGUGGACCAUCACCACAUUCACCCCAGAAGAAAUAAUUCCAUUCUUCAAGUACUCUUCAGCCCUAGGCAAGUGCCCAGAUUUGAACCAUUUUGCUUCCACUAAAAAUGCAUUGCACAGACUAGCCCACUGCACGCAAACAAAUAGAAUGAAUUAAGCUAUAAUUAAGCCUUUCUUAAUAUGCUAGUAUAUAAUUGUCACGACAUUAAUCCAGUUAGAUAGAUAUACUUAAUAAUAAGGCAAUACUACAGUUUACAUAUAUAUAUAUACCGUCUUCUUUAGCGAAUGCAACGAGUUCCAUCCGUGCCUUUGAUAGAUCUUACAGCUGAUUUCAUUCGUCAUAUCGUAAAGAGCCUUGAAGCAUAUCUUCAUGUAGUCCGGUAAGUGCUCUAUAGAACCAAUUUCCCAUCUGUAGCAUAACAAUGUUCUUGUCAGUUCACUGUGAAAAGUAGUGAAAUUAAUUAAGAAGUUACGGGAUGUUUUAAUUAUUGCUACCUAUUGACAACCUCCGUGAAAAGAGUGAGUUCAUCAAGCGUCCCGUAAACGUCAAAAAUGUCAUCAAUCAAAUAGAUAAAUGAGAUAGGUUUUGUGAGCUCAAUCCUCUCAUCUGACAAGUUUGGAUUUGUUAGGCAAGCCAUGGACCAAAUGUACCAUUUAAUAGGUUGGUCUCUUGCAAACUUCAACUCCUUACACAAUCCCAGCUCUUUCCACCAUCUAAUUAAGUUAAUUGAAACAAAUAAACAUUGAUUAGCAACUGGUUAAUUUAUUAAAUAUAGAGACAACAAUUGAAGAUUAAGGUGCUAUUUUCCAAUAAAGUUACUUACUUGGAAACUUGAGCAACUUCUUUCUGGUGAAGGGACUGGACCAUAUUUAAAUCUGUUUUUGCUACAGUUUGUAAUAUAUUUAGCCAUCUAUUAUUUGUUCCUUGGAAGCUAGAGAGACAAAAAAGUUCUUGGCCAUGAAUGGGGCCAAGCUUUUGUGAUGAGGAUUUCUCAAUGUGUUUCCAACAACUCUGGCCUGGUGAUGAUCGAGAUGUGACAGUGAUGAAUUUAGGAAAUGGCCACUAAACUUUCCAGCUUCUUCAAGUACAACUUCACCCUCUAUACUUAGCUGUGAAGCUUCAUACAAACUCAUCAACCCCUUGAUGUCUUCCCUUAACAUUUGAUUGAAAUUUCCUUCUCUGUUCUUGAAGUUGUUAAACACAUCUAUAUUCACACGAUAAACACACUAGUUAUCAAAAUAUCGAAAUUGUAUUGAGUCAAUUUACUGGUACCGAAUACCAAUCUAUAUUACUGAAUUAUAGUUAACACUCACCAUCAGAGACGAAGUAACCAUGCUGCCUGAGUAGUCGAAAGCGGAGAGCGACUUCAUGUAGGUCGGUGGGAUGGUGAGCACCAUGAGCAGUAGUACUAGAUAUUAUAUGUUGCUUUUGGAGAAUUUGGUCAAUUUCUUCUUCAAAGUGGUAGUCUAGACCUAGCCGUUGAACCGCAUCGAUCAUGUCCAAACUUUCAACUGCUUCUCCUCCCACUUUUAUCAAUGCAUGCCUUAAGUCGUCCAGUUUUUGUUCAUUCUGGAAACAAAUUAUGCCAUCCUGCGGACAAGGAAUUGAAGAGAGUCGAUUUUCAACCAUGUAUGUACAUGUGUGUGUGUGUGAGAGAGAGAGAGAGAGAGAGAGAGAGAGAGAGAGAGAGAGAGAGAGAGAGAGAGAGAGAUGAUUUUUCUUACCUUAGAUGAAGUAUACUUCGUUUUGGAGUUAAGCGGUUUUAAGGGAGUAGAAAGCAAACUGUUAUCUUCGGGGAUGCUCCAUUUUUGAGAACUAAGGUAUUCCGGAGCAGCUGGAGUAGAAGACGAGGUCGCAAAGGAGGACUGGGAAAUAGAAAAUUCCAUAUUUCUGUAUGUGUAAUCAACUCCCAGAGUAGUAGAAGGCGAAUAGAGAAAAUAAGAUGUUUUUCGCUCUUCUUGAUCUCUCAAUUUAUAAUCGCCAUGAAAAUCGAUUUUCGCUAUACUUCGAGAGCUAGCACACUAAUUUGCACGUUGAUUUAGAGUUUUUUUAUUCGCGCUUUUGUUU